GGAGUUACCCAACACACAAAAAAAAAAAGGAGAAAAUUUUAAAAUUUAAAUUUAUAAAUUUAAUAUUUAAUUUUUUAAAAAUUUAAAAAUUAUAUAUUUAAAUUUAAAAUAUAAUAUUUAAAAAUUUAAAUUCAGAUAUAAUAUAAGAGGUAAUAUCAUUAUUUUCUAUUUAUAAUUACUUAUUAUUCUUUUUAUUCCAUCUUAUCUAUCCAAACGUUAUUUUUUUUACUUUCGAAAAUAACUUAAUUUUCAUCCAAACACAAUAUUGGUCUAAUUCUUGCUUAUAUUUAUUACUGAAAUAGACAGUUCUUGCUGAACCAAACGAAGUCUUAGGGUUUGUUAGUUUUCACCGAAACUGAAGUUCAGUUCGGAGUAGACUUUUGGAUGGAUUAAAGUUUACACAGUUAAAAACUAUUUCUCUCCUACUGUUUACGUUUAUAGUUAUAAAACUAAAAUUUUUUCAGUUCUGCUAUUUAUUUAAUAAAAUAUAAAUAACAUAAAAUUUGAAAUUAUGGGUCCUCAAUUUUUCUCCAGUGCCAAAAUAUUAAAAAUACACAUGAAAAAAAUGAAUCCAAAAAUAUUUUCCAACCAAGAAGUCAAACUGACAAGAUGGCAGAGCAGAUAAAAUAGUUCAUUGUCAGAUCCUGCCAAAUUUUCUUUAUCAAUGUUUUUUUCCUCUCUUUUGUGGAAAAUGGAGAUGUGGAAAAAGAAUGGAGACAAAGAGAGGCCAAGAGGGGGAACUUAACAUAUCCUGCACAAGCAAUCAUUGACUACUAAAUUAGAAAACUAUUGCAUGCGCUUCGCGCACCGCACAUCUUCUAUUCUGAUACCAUAUAAACUUAUUUAGGCGGCUUUCAAAAAAUUUAGAUUAAAGCUAAAUUAUAACUACGUUGAUUCGUCCUAAGCCGACUUGGUGCAUCUGGUACACGCAAUAAUUUGCAGCAUAAGUGAAAAAAAAUAGAAAAAACUUUUAAAAAAACUCUGUGGUUUCGCAUUUUAUCACUUUAGUACUCUGUGGUUUAAAGUGUAUCAAUUUGGUGUCAUAUGGUUUCAUUUUUAUCUUUUCGACAGCUUUUUUAUUAAUAUUUCGUUAAAUUAUAUACAAAAAAAAUUUCAGGUACCCACCUAUUUUAGUAUUCUUUAAUUUUAACUUUGUCGCUGAUUAAAAAAAAAAGAGUAAAAUUGAUAAUAAAAAGAGGAAAAUGAAACCACAGGGCACUAAAUUGAUACACUUUAAAUCAUAUGGUACUAAAGUGAGAAAGUGUGAAACGACAAGGAGGAUUUUUGUAGCUUUUUCAAAAAAAUAAUAAAAAGAGUUGUGUUAUUAUAAUAAGUGUACAUGUAGCAUUGCUUUACGGAAAAUGGAUAUUUCCAUAUGCUUUUCUAAUUUAAUGGGUACUUUUAAAUGGGACCAUCCAAUUGUAUGAUGGUGUUUUAUCCACUUAUUAUUACAAGGCACAUCACAAAGUUUAAAAAUGACAAUUACACGCAUUCCAUGAAAAUGAUGUGCUUUUCAAUGAAAAUGGUCACAUAUAAUAAUUUGAGUUUGAAAAUGAUAAUCUUAAAUAUGCUUUACUAUAAUAGUUUACAAGUUAAAAUUGAGAGAAAAAAAAAAUUAUGCUUUAUUUAUGUUCUAGUUGACCGUUUGGUUCCAAAUUGCAUGCGUAAAUGAUAAUAUCUAUUAUGCUAUUCAAAACUUUGAAUAUCUAAUAUAUUCUCGAUGGAUCAAAAUACUUUUGUUGAUUUCCAAAAAUUAUUCUUCAAAUAUACUUCUAAGUUUAGGAUGUAUUAAUGGAAUUUAAAAUUUAGAAAGGUAAUUUGGAAAUAAACCGUUUGGUUCGGGGUUAAGAAAAAAUUAGUUAUUUCAGGGAUAGAGUUAAGUUCAUGAUUAAGGUGGGGUUAGAGUAUUUUUGUGUUUGGUUGGGUGUUGGAGUUAGUCCAGAAUAGUGAAAAAUAGUUUUUGGUUGGAGAAGAUAGGAUAAGAAAGAUAGUGGGUUAUUAUGAAUAAAAAAUAGUGUUUGGUUAAGGUUUGGUGGGGUUAAAUAGGAUUAGCUAACCCGAGAUAGUCCAUUUGAGGUGGGAUUAGUUAACCCCAUCCAUUUUUGGAGAUGUUUGGAGAUAAUAUUGGGGUUAAGGGGUUAUUCCACCUCUUAAGCCCCAACCAAACAAAGGUUAAUUAAGAGAAUAAACUCAAAAAUUUUAAAUUAUAGUUACGGAUAUAUGAAACAAAAGCCCUAUGUGAAAAAUUAUAGCAGAACACUUUUGUCGCAAAGAAGAUUAAAACAGAUAGAAACUAAUAGCUAAUAUAAUUAUUAAUUUCAACAAAAAUUUAGAAAUAUUAUAAGUUAAGUGAGUGGCAAUUAAAACAAAAAAUGUGUAGAUAUCUAUAUUUUGCAAGGGGGAAAAAAAGUUUUCUAUAAUUCUUAGAAGUAUUUUUUUGCACCAAAUGUGUAGUUUUCAUUUUUGUGUCAUAAAAGAAUAGGAAUAAGCAAGUUAAUCCAACAUUAGUCCCUAGAAAAUAAUAAUAAUGUAAGCAUUGGAGUGAGAAUAAAAAGAAAAAGAAAAAGAAAAAAGAUGGAAGUUAUCAUGAAGUGGUUGAAUAAAAUGAAAGGUGAUAAAAAUAGAAUCCUAAGGAAUGUUAUGGGAUUCACACCUUGCUUAAUUAGGUAGAUCAUCAAGUUUUUUUUUUUUUUUUUUUUUUUUUUUUUUCUUACCCUUUUUUCAUGUACAUCUUAUAUAAAAAUAUAUUUAUGUUUAGAAUAUAGGUUGCAAUCUAGUUAUGCUUAUGUAUAUUUUGAAAAAAAAAAUAAUAUGAAAGGCACAAAAAAAAUUUAAGUGAAUUGUUGAAAUGCGAAAAAAUUUCUUUGCCGCAAUAUCAGAAUUAUCUUGAAAAGUCCAUACAUAUUACCUAUUUUUUGGAUUAUAAAAGAAAAAUACUAUCUGUAUACUCUAUUAUAAAAUAUAUAUUUUACACCUUUUCAUGGAAGGAUUAAAUUUUUUAAAAAAAUUUUAAUAUUAAAAAAUAGUAAAAUAAAUAAAUAAAUAAAUAUAGGCAGUACAUAAUUAAGGCGUAUAAUUCAUACAUAUAAUAUAAGUGUAUAAAUAAUUUAAUUUCUACCAAUAACUUUUUAGAAAUAAUAUCUAAUAUACCCUUCAAAAAAAAUUUAAUACUAUUCAAUACAUCUUUGGUUAACCAAAUUACCCUUAUUAAUUUUUCUUAACCCCGAACCAAACGGUAGCUCAAGGAUUUAGUAAUGAGAUUUAGAUUGAGAAGGACAUGUUUGGAUAAUAAUAAUCAGGAGUGAUAAGUAAAAGUAUUUUUUUUUAAUAUAUACUUGUUCUUAUUAUAUAUCAAUUAUUAAAUUUUUAAUUCUUAGAAAAUUUUUUUGGGUUAAUUUCAUACAGGUCGAUACAAAUACAAUAAAUGACAAACAUAUCCCUACAAACUUCAACUUUCAUAUAUUGUCCCUACAAAAAGUCCUGAUGUUUUUAAAUAUAUUCCUGCCGUUAGAAUCCGUUAGAAAAAUUUAGUUAAAAAUAAAUUAAAUACUUAAUCUUGAUUAAUUUUUGACAUUUGUAUCCUUCUUAUAUUAUACUGUUCUGACUUUUGGAGGGACAUAUUUGUGAUGAUAAAAUUGAAAAUACAAAUGAUUCUUUAAUGGUAACAAAUCAGAGGGAUAUAUUUGAAAAUAUAAAAACUUUUGCUGUAAGUACGUAACAAUAUAUAAAAAUUGAAUUUUAUAGGAAUAUAUUUAUCAUUCAUAAUGUUUGUAAAAAACUGUGUAAAAUUAUUAUUUUUAAUUAAAUACUUUACCCUUUUUCCUUUUUUAAUUAAUUCCCAAAAGAACGCGCUUUCUCACAUUGACACGAAUUUCAUUUGCUUUCCUUUUCCACUCAAGUCCUUUUCCUCUCCUCUCUCUCUCUCUCUCUCUUUCUCUCUCUACAUUGUGAGCUCCAUUUCCCCAUUCCCUUAAUCCCCCACACCUACUACGCUUUCCCACUACACUUCCCCAACACUUUCCCGACCGUUUCGAACCGGACCGGUCGAACCGGGCCCAUGGACCGGACCGGGCCCCGGUUCACAUCCCCCCUCCUCCCUCCCCUCCCGAACCUUAACCCUAACCCUAGCCCCUCCGCCGCCGCCGCGGCGGCCGCGGCGGCGGCCGCACCGAGGCACCGGCGCGCGCACUCCGACACAUUCCUCCGACUCCCCGAUGACCUGUUCCUCGACUCCGACCCCGACUUCGCGUUCUCCGACCUCGACUUCCCCUCCCUCUCCGACGACAGCGGCGGGGCCGCCCCCGCCGGAGGAGCUCCGGACAAUCCCGGGCCGGAGGCGGAGGCGGGGAGGGGCCACGCGCGGAGCCUCUCCGUCGACGCCGCGUUCUUCGAGGGAUUAGGGUUCCAUGGCGCGGGGACGAGCGGCGGAGGCGGAGGAGGAGGAGGAGGAGGAGGAGGGAGGCCGCAGCAUCGGAGAGGGGGAUCGGUGGAUGGGUUGUCCGAGGGGGAAUCGGCGCCUCCGCCGAUGUCGGAUUAUGCGAAGAAGGCGAUGGCGCCGGGUAAGCUUGCGGAGUUGGCGCUGAUCGAUCCGAAGAGGGCGAAGAGGUCUCUUCUCUCCUCCUCAUCACCUUAGGGUUUCUAUCUUGAAUUUGACUUGGCUUCCUUCAUCUUACAUGUAAAUGGAUUAGUUUCAUUUUUAGCUAAUUUUGGUGUGUUUUUUAGGUAUUAAUUCCAAUUUUUUGAUCUCCUGAAUCCUUGUUAUUAUGUUAAUGUAAGUAAUUUGGGCAUAUUUCUUAUUCCAGAGAGCUUUUUUUACUUAUCCAUCCAUGGUUUUGUGCUGCAGGAUUCUCGCGAACAGGCAAUCCGCGGCUCGAUCGAAGGAGAGGAAGAUUCGCUACACACGGAGGCGACCACUCUCUCUGCGCAAGUUACGCUUCUACAGGUAGAGAUUUUGAUAUUGUAGCAGAAACUUUUGCUCCCAAUUAGAUUGUUGUUGUGCUUUAUUUACAAUUUUGUGUCAGAUAAGCAUUUGUCUCAGAAAUCAUUACAAGAGCCCUUUAGUUAUAAUGUUAUAUAUAUAUAUAUAUAUAUAUAUAUAUAUAUAUAUAUAUAUAUUUGUAUUUAUCAUCAGUUGCUCAUCGUACUCGUCAACUGAUGUAGCAUCCUUGAUCUUCGAGCGUGUUGGGGGAAGUACUAGCAACUAUUAAGCUGCAUCCCAAGAGAUGCAGUGUUUACUUCAAUGUAGAAGUUUCGCCUCUCAAACAUGAAUUCGCUGUGUUUUUGUUGAUGUUGUUAUUCACAUGGUUGUUUGCAUUACCAUGUUAUGUUUGUUAGCUUGGCUAGAUACAAAUUAAUAAUAUAUUUCAUGCUUGGUUUAUGGUUUGUAAUAUGUCCUAGUAAAUCAGAAGCAUUGCUUAAGGGGCAAAUGCUUGGCCGUGGGAAACACCAUCCUUGUACGAUUAUCUAAGAGGAGCUCCUUAUAAAUUCAUGUGAAAUGGUGGCUAAUUAAGAGAAACCUUAUGAAGUAGUCAUAUGAAAGAUAUUUUUCAACCAAACCGCUUUCAUGGCUUGUUCCAUUUCUUUAGUCCAAAUCACGGCUCCUUCAAACUUCGGCAACAUAAUUGUUACUUGUGAUGUUGUACCAAAAAAAGUGUCUGUGCUUUUAACUUUUCUGUAUGUUUCGGCUCACAUGAAUUGAUAAGAUGGCAUAUUCUUGUAAAUCUUUAUAAUUAUGGGAGCAUAUCUAUGAUGGUGAGUGCAAAGUUAUGUAAUGUUGAAGGUUUCAUUACAAUGAAAGGAACCUUUAGAGAUGUCCAAUUAUUCUCUAUUACAAAGAAUCAGUAGAAGUUUGCUUUUGUAAUGUAAUAAAAAAUAAGCAAGUCGGGACCAAAUGAUUUGAGGCAACAAGAGAGUAGGGGAAGCUGGUAAUGCACUGUGGGAGGUAUUAUUAUGGGCUACAGUGAAAACCAUUGAAAAAUUAGGAAAUAGUUGUAACUGGUUCUUCUUCGUAAUUUUCAGUUGUUCUUCUAUAGAAUAAUUUGAGUACAUUAUGCAACAUACCUCUGAUUUUUUGUGCAUUAUGCAUUAAAUUUGGAGGAGAUGCUAAAAUAUACUUGCGUAUCGCUUGUUAUUGUUUGCAUUGUUGCUUCAUUAUAACUCGUCUUCUUUCUGUUCUCAUGCCAAUAUAUUCAGAUUCACAUUACAUUCACAUGAAAAUAAAAGAUGUCAUUGGUCACAGGUUCUUCUUAGAAAAAGCAGUUGCUCUAUUCAGCUUGCUCUCAAGCAUUUCAAGUAAUAGGUUUUUUAGGUUUUACUCUUUGAUACUGUGUCUUAUCUGAUUUUUUUUUUCCCCCAACUAUACUUUAGUAUUUAAAUAGUUCCUGAUAUAGUGAUAUGUGAUUUUCCUUGAAAAUUCAGAGAGACACAACAGGUUUAACUGCUGAGAACAGAGAACUCAAGCUACGGUUGCAGGCUAUGGAAGAGCAGGCUCAACUUCGUGAUGGUAUUUUCUAUCCACGCAACUAGAAAUUUCAUCUUUCUGAUUUCUAUGAUUCGUCAGCAUCAGUGCUUCCGUUUUACACUUGUAUCAUAUUUGACCAGCUAAAAUUUCUAUAGAAGUGUUAUUAAGUAGAGCGUUCAUCUAGAUCGUCAACUUCUAUAACCAUAGCGAAUGGAAAAGCUUUAAAUAGCAGCUUUUGUUUGUCAAACAACUAACUGUUGAUUCUGCCCAGUAGAGAACCUGUUUCAUAAGCCCCCACGCCGAAUUGAAUUUGUAUCGCCGUAUAACCUCCAUCAGCUUAUUAAGGAAGCUCUUUAUGAUCUUUGUACAGCUUUGAAUGAUGCUCUGAGAGAGGAAGUCCAACGGCUCAAGUGCGCGGCCGGACAACCACCCAACAUGAAUGGGAUCUCCUUCAAUGGAAGGCCCCAGCAACCCAUGCAAACCUACUUCUCUCAUCCACAACAUAUGCCGCAUUUAAGUCGGCCCCACCCACAACAUAUCCCUUCGACGCAAUCGGAGGCUUCUCCAAAUGGCCACUCAAUUCGGAACCUCUCUCUAAAUGAUUCAAUGGAUUUCAUGUGAGGUCCAUUUGGAGUUUGGUGCAAAACAAGUAGGGUUAUGGUUAUAGGUGAUUGUUGUUCUUUGUAUCAUUAAUUAUUACAAUAAACAGUUGCUAUAAUGUAAGGUGGUUGAACUGCUUUUGGGUGUUGUUUUUCUUUGUUGUAAUUAUUAUACGCAUAGAGAUUGAUGUAGCUACCUAAUCUUCUUGGGUGUGGUGAAUAUUAUCACAAUUCAAUUAUUCUUUUUGACCUGUUAUGUUGUGUUCUCAUGAUCAACAUUUGGAGUGGGUUGGUGUACAAAUUGGUCUACCUAAUGUAUUUAAUCUCUCUCUCUCUCUCUCUCUCUCUCUCUCUCUAAAAUAUUGCUUAAACAAUGUGUGAAAAAUCUUAGCUUUCAAAAGUAAUUGCCUUGGCAAUAAAUCAAAAUAUUGAAAUAUUAUUUGAUUUUAUUGCAAAUCCGUUCAUCAAAUUUAUGAUCGAUAAUAUGUAGUUAUCAAGGAAUGUACGAAAUGAAUUGAAUUCGGAUUUGGAGGUAGUAAUUCCUUUUUAAAGUUUUUCUUUUGUCUGAAUUGAGUAAUUGUAGUCAAAUAAGUUAGAGAUUUUUUUUUAUCAAAUUUAACAAGCUGAAUCACUUUUUUAGUAAAUAAAAUUAGACUAAUUAAUGAUCAAAUUCACUAAAAAAAAAAACCUUUGUAAUAACCCAAUUCCAAAAAGAAAAAAAUUAUAAGUUAGAACUUAGAAGUCGAAAGGAUUCUACUUAUUAUAAAAUAAUAAUAAAAAAAUGACCAUUUUCAGAACACCAAAUAGUAGAGGGGUUGUCCGUAGGAUUUUUACCUGCAUACCACAGUGAAAGGUGAAAACUUUCCAUUUUGGGUAAAAAAACGAGACAUACCAAAAAUAGACUUAUCAAUAAAAGGGCCGGGCUCGCACAAAGCCCACUUAAUCUAGCCCGGCCCAAUAAGUUAUUGGAUGGAAUCAGCCCAAUAACAAACAACCCAAGUUUAAGAGUUCGUGGGCUAAAUCUACGUAAUAGGCCCAACAAGUGAACAGAUCCGGCCCAAUAAGCCGUUAGAUUCGUCUCAAAUGUAAAUGAGCUCCUGGGCCCAAUCUACGUAACAACUUGGUUUGAACAAACCCGCUUAGAUCUAGCCCGGCCCAAUAAAACCCUUGUUUGGGCCACCUCGAUAUUUGCAUACAAUAUAUACGUUUGAACAAAACAGGGUUAAUUGCGCAAUCGAUCUCCAACCUUUAUACAAUUUUUUUUUUAAAAAAUUUGUCCCCAAUCUUAAUACAAAUAGUAGGUCUCUAAUAUUUAUUAUUUAUUUAAAUUAAAUUCCUGCGAUCAAUUUGUGGUAUUUUCAAACUAGUUUGCCAUGCAAGUCAAAAGCCACUCAGAAGCACAGGGCAAAAAUGAAACCGAAAUAAACAGUCACAAUUGAACAAGAAGUUCAAGUCUCAACAAUCAUAGAUAUAUCCGUGAAUCUAAAUGCAUAGUAUACGUAAAAUAUCAUCGAAAUUUUGCUUUCAACAGUAGCUUAUAUUGUAAUUCUCGCUACUCGAAAGAAAAACAAAAAGAAACAAUCAGAUAAAUCCGACGUAUUAACAGCAUUUGAGCUUCGAAGACGGGCAAAACUUGUUAAUGGAUGCCGCAUUUCCUUUUCGACUGUAAGCUACACAGAUUGAUUCUUUUGUACAAUUCAUUGAUAGCAUUACGCGACAUGAACUCUCACCCUAACACCACUACAUAGCAACUGUUCUCAACAAAUCUACAAUAGGACGCGACGGUCCAGCAGUACUUGAGGAACGCAAUUUCAUACUGAGGAUCUUCAUUUGUCAAAUUUUUUUCUCGACUAAGUUUACUUCGAGUCGUGGAGAGGCCACCUUCCAAAUAUCACUCCACAUCUUCAGCACUAUCAAUAAAUGUUUCCUUGAAUAAAAGAUAGUGAUCUUCUUCAAGCCUUUUGCAACCUUAACCAUAUUUGCAAUCACAAACCCAGUCUGAUAAAAUUUUCCUUUCAGCUCUACUACUAUAGCACUCAGGUGAUCGCCAAGAAGGUUCAGAUUUCCUUCAUGCCGUUUGUAAAACUGGGACGCCAUCAAGCCCAAUAGCUGAAAAUGCAAGUAAAGGCGAGUUGAAAGGAAAAUGAAACCAUAGCCGGAAUUGAGAUCAAUAUGUUUGAGAGAUGGAGAGAUCCUUUUAGUUCAUCAAUUUGUACCAUUUCAUAGUGCGGUCGAUAUGGCUUCCCACUAUAUUUGAGGGAUAGGGUUUCUAACUUAGGCGAAACCAUCAGGACGGAAGCAAAAACUGGGAAAUGGUACUCCAUCAAACCAUCAACUGUAAUGGCCAAGUGAUGGAGAUUAUUCAACGCAAUCUGCAGCUGAUCACCUAGCAAAAGCAUCUGCAGACUGGCAUUGUGAAGAUAAGUUCAAAUUAUAUAUGCUUAAACAUGCAUGAACGCACCGAAAAGUUUUGAUAAAAUAAUGGAUAAACAGACUGUUCUAUUCACAUAUCGCAACUUUGUACUUGAACUUUCCGCUUAAAAAACUGUCAGCCGUGAACUUUCUCAUGUAUUGCACUUUCAUCCCUGACUCUUGAAAGAAAGAAAUUAAAAAUCCAUUUAAUUUUGAUGUAAAAUGAUGUUAUAACCCUGUUCUGAUUAAACUAGAAUAAGGAAAUCAGUAUAUGAGAGAAGGAUUAAGAUGGUCAUUUUGUAUGCAGAAUCAGUUUUUUUUUUUUCCUUUUUUGGACGAGCAAGAUAGAAUUGCAAAUUAAAAGAUGGUUUAAGGACCAAAGUGUCUGAGUACAGGGAAAAGCUCCUAAUCUGGAUAGUUGACAGGUCAUUGGCACAGAUUAUAUAGUGAAACAGCAUCUUUACCUCAAAAGUGUCACUGUUAAUCUGUAGCACUCUAACAUGAUGUAUACUCUGAAGAAGCUUAGCCAAGCGGAUGCAAAUAGUUUUCUCUUCAUGAUAGGUCUUGUUUAUAUCAAGACAGAGAGAGGCUUUCUUCAGAAAUUUCCAUUCACUCAGAUAAAUGUCAUUUACCGCCCCCGUCCACUUCAAAUCUUGCAGAUUAGGGGCUUUAACUUUCAAGAUGCAAUUGAAUGGAUUACGCAACGAAUUCAAGUUUAAAGAUAACUUCUGCAGCCUCUCAGUUGUGAUGUCAAUAUUGUAGACAUCAGUGGGAAGAUUGAAGAUAUCUAAUUCUUCAAGAGACUCACUGGUAAUUCUCACAUUACGAAUCCCUUUGACAAGGUGUGAAAUUGUCAACCUCUUAAGUGACGGGCAUGCAGUAGAAAUCCACUCUUCAAGGCAAUCAGCACGCAGUGCCAUACUACAUAGAGAUAGAUCCUCAAGAGAAGCAAGGACUCCAAUUGGUUCCAGGAGAAUGUUAUAAGUCAAAUGUAACUUGAGCACACGCAAGAAUCUGGAACUGAAGAUACAGUUUGGCAUCUUGAACAAUUCCUCUUCAUGCCUAAACCCAACCGCAAGAUCAAGCUCCUGAACUCCACAGCUUACAGCAAUAUUUGUCCACUUAUCAACAAAAUAUUGUUUUGCAUCGCAGUUGCCAUUAAAACAAAUCCAUUGAAGGCGAAAGCUUACUAUCGCCAACCCAUUUCGCUGGCUCAGUAUUCUAUCCACAAAAUUAGUGAACUCCUCACAUAAGCAUGAUGGAUCAUCGGGCAAACAAUAGCAUUCGAACUUCAUAUAUGGGCUAGAGAGUAAGAAUUGUCUACACCUUUUUGAUAGUAGGGCAAAUUUUGCCUGGUCAUUCGCCCCGAGAAGGGACAAGAUUUUGUAAAUAAUGUCGUCUGCUAGAUUGGCGAAUAUAUCAUAUCCCUGAGCAUCAUUAACAUGCUGGUUUGUGACCAACUGAUCCAUGAUACACCAGCGCUCUGCAAUAGUGAAGACAUUACUUUCUAAAUAAGCAUUCAACGAAACAUCUAUCACAAAAGUUGAUAUAAAAUUAGCCACAAAGAAAACAAGAAAAUGAUGAGUUAGAAACUAUCAAAUAUCUCCUUCAUUAGCUGAAGGCAUGCACUCCCACACGCGUAAGAUUACAUCCGUACUUAACAACUAAAUCGUCUAAUUCAUUUGGCAAGCUGCCUAAAAUAGUGACCGGCACCUGAACUUGCCUCAUGGGAAGAAACCUAUAAGAGUUAACCAACCAGAUAUCCAGAUAUCCCAGGAUAUUAGCCUGUUGAUAAGAUUAUGAGAGAGAAUUCAAGAAUGGCAAAGAAGCUAUGGGAUUUUAACUCGUAGGACAUGAGAAGGCAUAGUUCGCUCAUUUUAUGAGAAAGGUUAAGAAUGUUGGGGAGCUUCUUGUUUCUUGUACAUAUAUGUUUCGUUCCCAUAAGACUAAUCUCGUUAUAUGGUCCAUUUAUUCUGUACAACCAUCACCCGGUAUUCCAAUAAGGAGAAAAAUCCUGUGUUCUCAGAUGAAUCAGCCUCCGGUACAACAGAAGAGUUUGAUCAAUAUCUUGCACAUUAUUACAAUAUUUAGUCAAGAUUCUGAGGAAAAAUAUGCGAGCGGUCUCAUGAAAUUCAACAUUAAAUGUUCAGAUCACAAUCCGCCAAGUUAGCGAAAACAUCGUAAGGAUUCAUGGGAUUACAAAGUCAUAAGAUCUGAAUUAGUAACAUAUGUAGUCCCGGAAGAUCGAGCCAUUCAAUGGAAAAAUGCAUCAAGGAAGAAAUUUUCUGCCACAUAUCAAUCUCUUCAUACACAUCUUAGGAUUCUACAUUUCCAGAUAAAAGGCCGAGUUUAUAUAAUUAUCCCCCCUCUUAGAAAUGUUCUAGCAACUCACGGAGAAAGUAUAAACAAUAAUAGAAUAUAGUAGAUAGAAACAUCAGAAAUCGAAUCAAGAAUCACAUCAAAUUUACAGCCAAGUAUCGCUUAUAUAACCACGAAUCUAGUGUUUAACGAGUAGUUGAUCACGUUUUCACAAUAUACAUCAAGAAUCACAUAUCUAGUUCCAUAUACAACUUUUAUGACCCAUAAUCAAGUGCUUAGUGAAUAAUUGUCACAAUUUCAGACAUUAAAUGAAAGAUCGCAAAGUUAAUUCCACAUAAAACUUACAUUUAACCGAAAAAUCAGGUGUUCAAUGAAUCCUGCGGUGUCUAAUUCUACUAUUUUGUCCCCAAAAUGGAAACUCCAACCAAUCUACUCUCACACAAAGAAUUCGACGAGGAAUAUGUAGAAAUCAAAAGGAUUUACCGAAAAGAAGAAAGGGGGAGGUAAAAUUGUUAGGGUUUGAGAGAAUCGUGAUGCUCACGGAGAUGGUGCGAUCGAGGGGGAGGUGAUCGGCGAUGGCUUCGGGAGAAAGCGACGGAGUGUGGGGGACGAGAACGAGAGCGUUUUAAUGGCGGAAACGAUGAAUUAAACGAGAUGAAAAUUUAUGGGAAACCCCUCGGCUUUGGGCUAUUUUGAAAUACACUCUUCUACUUUUUUUUAAAAAAAAUUAUACGCUAAAACUUUUAAUUGUUUUAAUGUAAAUAGUAAAUUUUAUUAAACUCAGUAUAGAUUAUGUUAAUUUUAAUUACUAUUUCUCACACUUGUGAUGUGAAUUUUAUCAAGGUUUAGCAGUUGCUAAUAAAGCAGUUAAUUUAACAAACGUUCGAUUUAAUUAAGAAAAUUAUCUCACAAGUGUGAGAAAUAGUAAUUAAAAUUAACAUAAUCUAUACUGAGUUUAAUAAAAUUUACUAACACUUGUGAUGUGAAUUUUAUCAAGGUUUAGCAGUUGCUAAUAAAGCAGUUAAUUUAACAAACGUUCGAUUUAAUUAAGAAAAUUAUCUCACACUAAAAUAUUUCACAAUAUUUUUUGUUUUUUAGGUGCCUAAUGAAAAUUAAAAUUGGAGGAAUGUGUACAUUAUAUUGUUUGAUCGACACUUUCUCAAUUUUUAGUUUCUCCACUUACAGUUUACAUUAUUAAACUGAACUUUUUUAAAAUUAAUAAUAAAUUUCAUUAAAUUUAAAAAAGUCAGUUACUUUUUCACAAAUGUAUAAUAAAACAUCAAGUUUAAUAAAGUUCUUAAUUUAAUUAUUAUCUAAAACAAUUCAAACAAAAAUAAAUUAAAGAUGUAAGGCGCGCUGAAACUCCAGUCUCCAGCCAGGAUAAUUAGUUUCAGUUUUAGAAAGAUAAAAUUUGAGUUAAAAUAUCCACGUACCAAAAAAAAAAAAAAAAAAAAAAAUCAUCAACAAAAAAUUUCAAAAAUCUUUCUUUUGGAUUUGGUGGAAUUUCUCGAGUUUAACCAACGAGUAAACUAGGUUUGCAGCUACACCAAAGUCGCAACGAAGCAAAAACAGUGCCAUGAAACCUACUAUUAUAUUAUAUUAUAUUAUUUAUCUUACAAGCAGUAAACAUGAUGCAUCUCAUCUCAAUGAGGUAAAAAAAAAAAAAGAAAAGGAAAACGAAAGAGUCACAAAUUUCCGUAUCAACAUCUAGUAAUGCGCGCAAACGUGCACACACAAAAGAAACAAAAAUUGAACAAGAAGCUCAAGUUUCAACAAUCAUAGAUAUAUCCGUGAAUCUAAAUGCAUAGUUUACGUAAAAUAUCAUUGAAAUUUUGCUUUCAAGAGUAGCUUAUAGUGUAAUUCUCGCUACUCGAAAGAAAAAAAAGAAACAAUCAGAUAAAUCCUACAUAUUAACAGCAUUUGAGCUUCGAAGACGGGCAAAACUUGUUAAUGGAUGCCGCAUUUCAUUUUGGACUGUAAGCUAUACAGAUUGAUUCUUUUGUACAAUUCAUUGAUAGCAUUAUGCGACAUGAACUCUCACCCUAACACCACUAGAUAGCAACUGUUCUCAACAAAUUUACAAUAGGACGCGACGGUCCAGCAUUACUUGAGGAACACAAUUUCAUACUGAGGAUCUUCAUUUGUCAAAUUUUUUCUCGACUAAGUUUACUUCGAGAUGUGGAGAGGCCGCCUUCCAAAUAUCUCUCCAGAUCUUCAGCACUAUCAAUAGAUGUUCCCUUGAAAAAAAGAUAGUGAUCUUCUUCAAGCCUUUUGCAACCUUAACCAUAUUUGCAAUCACAAACCCAGUCUGAUAAAAUUUUCCUUUCAGCUCUACUACUAUAGCACUCAGGUGAUCACCAAUAAGGUUCUGAUUUCCUUCGUGCCGUUUGUAAAACUGGGACGCGAUCAAGUCCAACAGCUGAAAAUGCAAGCAAAGGCGAGUUGAAAGGAAAAUGAAACCAUAGCCGGAAUUGAGAUCAAUAUGUUUGAGAGAUGGAGAGAUCCUUUUAGUUUAUCAAUUCGUACCAUUUCAUAGCGCGGUCGAUAUGGCUUCCCACUAUAUUUGAGGGAUAAGGUUUGUAACUUAGGCGAAACCAUCAGGACGGAAGCAAAAAUGGGGAAAUGGUACUCCAUCAAACCAUCAACUGUAAUGACCAAGUGAUGGAGAUUAUUCAUCGGAAUCCGCAGCCGAUCACCUAGGAAAAGCGUCUGCAGCAUGGCAUUGUGAAGAUAAGUUCAAAUUAUAUACUUAAAUAUGCAUGAACGCAACCAAAAAUUUUCAUAAAAUAAUGUAUAAUCGGAAUGUGUCCUAUUCACGUAUCACAACUUUGUACUUGAACUUUUCACAUAAGACACUUUAAGCCGUGAACUUUCUCAUAUAUUGCACUUUCAUUCCUGGCUCUUGAAAAAAAUAAGUUAAAAAUCCAUUUAAUUUGAUGUAAAAUGAUCUUAUAACCAUGUUUAGAUUAAAUGAGAACAAGGAAAUCAGUUCAUAAGAAAAGGAAUAAAAUGGUCAUAUAUGCAGAAUCAGUUUUUUUUUUCUUUUUCUUUUUCUUUUUCUUUUUUUUUUUUGGACGAGCAAGAUUAGAAUUGCAAAUUAAAAGACGGUUUAAGGACCAAAGUGUCUGAGUACAGGGAAAAGCUCCUAAUCUGGAUAGUUGACAGGCCAUUGGCACAUUAGUCCUAAAAUGAUUAUAUAGGUAAGCCUGCACGUGAAACAGCAUCCUGACCUCAAAAAUAUCACUGUUAAUCUGUAGCACUCUAACAUGAUGUAUGCUCUGAAGAAGCUCAGCCAAACGGAUGCAAAUAGUUCUCUCUUCACGAUUGGUCUUGUUUAUAUCAAGACAGAUAGAGGCUUUCUUUAGAAAUUUCAAUUCACUCAGAUAAAUGUCAUUUACCGCCCCCGUCCACUUCAAAUCUUGCAGAUUAGGUGCUUUAACUUUCAAGAUGCAAUCGAAUGGAUUAUACAACGGAUUCAAGUCUAAAGUUAACUUCCGCAGCCUCUCAGUUGAGAUGUCAAUAUUGUCGAUAUCAGGGGGAAGAUUGAAGAUAUCUAAUUCUUCAAGAGACUCGCUGCUAAUUCUCACAGUAGGAAUCCCAUCGGAAAGGUUUGAAAUUGUCAACCUCUUAAGUGAUGGGCACGCGAUAGAAAUCCACUCUUCAAGGCAAUCAUCAAACAAAAACAUUUUACUUAGAGAUAGAUCCUCAAGAGAAGCAAGGACUCCGAAUGGUUCAAGGAGAAUGUUAUAAGUCAAAUGUAACUUGAGCACACGCAAGAAUCUGGAACUGAAGAUACAGUUUGGCAUCUCGAACAAUUCCUCUUCAUGCCUUAACCCAACCGCAAGAUCAAGCUCCUGAACUCCACAGCCUACGGCAAUAUUUGUCCACUUAUCAACAAAAUAUCGUUUGGGAUCGCAGUUGCCGUUAAAACAAACCCAUUGAAGGCGAAAGCUUACUAUCGCCAACCCAUUUCGCUGGCUCAGUAUUCUAUCCACAUAAUCGAUGAACUCCUCACAUAGGCAUGAUGGAUCAUCGGGCACACAAUAGCAUUCGAACUUCAUAUAUGGGCUAGAGAUUAACAAUUGUCUACACCUUUUUGAUAGUAGGGCGAAUUUUGCCUGGUCAUUCGCCCCGAGAAGGGACAAGAUUUUGUAAAUAAUGUCGUCUGCUAGAUUGGUGAAUAUAUCAUAUCCCUGAGCAUCAUAAACAUGCUGGUUUGUGACCAACUGAUCCAUAAUACACCAGUGUUCUGCAAUAGUGAAGACAUAACUUUCGAAAUAAGCAUUCAACGAAACAUCUAUCACAAAAGUUGAUAUAAAAUUAGCCACAAAGAAAACAAGAAAAUGAUUUGUUAGGAACUAUCAAAUAUUUCCUUCAUUUGCUGAAGGCAUGCACUCCCGCACGCGUAAGAUUACAUCCGUACUUAACAACUAAAUUGUCUAAUUCAUUUGGCGAGCUGCCUAAAAAAGUGACUGGCACCUGAACUUGCCUCAUGGGAGGAAACCUAUAAGAGUUAACCAACCAGAUAUCCAGAUAUCCCAGGAUAUGAGCCUGUUGAUAAGAUUAUGAGAGUGAAUUCAAGAAUGGCAAAGAAGCUAUGGGAUUUUAACUCGUAGGACAUGAGAAGGCAUAGUUCGCUCGUUUUAUGAGAAAGGUUAAGAAUGUUGGGGAACUUCUUGUUUCUUGUACAUAUAUGUUUCGUUCCCAUAGACUAAUCUCGUUAUCUGGUCCAUUUACUCUGUACAACCAUCACCCGGUAUUCCAAUAAGGAGAAAAAUCCUGUGUUCUCAGAUGAAUCAGCCUCCGGCACAACAGAAGAGUUUGACCAAUAUCUUGCACAUUAUUACAAUAUUUAGUCAAGAUUCUGAGGAAAAAUAUGCGAGUGGUCUCAUGAAAUUCAACAUUAAAUGUUCAGAUCACAAUCCGCAGAGUUAGCUAAAACAUCGUAAAGAUUCAUGGGAUUACAGAGUCAUAAGAUCUUAAUUAGUAACAUAUGUAGUCCCGGAAGAUCGAGCCAUUCAGUGGAAAAAUGCACCAAGGAAGAAAUUUUCUGCCACAUAUCAAUCUCUUCAUACGCAUUUUAGGAUUCUACAUCAAGAUCACUCACAAAGGUAGCUAACUGUAAAGAUAAUUGAAUGACUAAAUUUAAUUACGACUAGAAUUUCAGAUAAAAGGCCGAGUUUAUAUAAUUAUCCCCCCUCUUAGAAAUGUUCUAGCAACUUACGGAGAAAUUAUAAACAAUAAUAGAAUAUAGUUGAUAGAAACAUCAGAAAUCGAAUCAAGAAUCACAUCAAAUUUACAGCCAAGUACCGCUUAUAUAACCACGAAUCUAGUGUUUAACGAGUAGUUGAUCACGUUUUCACAAUAUACAUCAAGAAUCAUAUAUCUAGUUCCAUAUACAACUUUUAUGACCCAUAAUCAAGUGCUUAGUGAAUAAUUGUCACAAUUUCAGACAUUAAAUGAAAGAUCGCAUAGUUAAUUCCACAUGUAACUUACAUUUAACCGAGAAUCAAGUGUUCAAUGCAUCCUGCGGUGUCUAAUUCUACUAUUUUGUCCCCAAAAUGGAAACUCCAACAAAUCUACUCUCACAUAGAGAAUUCGAUGAGGAAUAUGUAGAAAUCAAAGGAUUUACCAAACAGAAGAAAGGGGGAGGAGAAAUUGUUAGGGUUUGAGAGAAUCGUGAUGCUUACGGAGAUGGGGCGAUCGAGUGGGAGGUGAUCGGCGAUGGCUUCGGGAGAAAGCGACGGAGUGUGUGGGAGGAGAACCAGAGCGUUUUAAUGGCGGAAAGAUGAAUUUAAACGAGGUGAAAAUUUAUAGCGAACCCCUCGGCUUUGGGUUAUUUUGAAAUGGACUCUUCUAUUUUUUUUUAUUUAUGCGCUAAAACUUUUAAUUGUUUUAAUGUAAAUAGUAAAUUUUUAUUAAACUUAGUAUAGAUUAUGUUAAUUUUAAUUACUAUUUCUCACACUUGUGGUGUGAAUUUUAUCAAGGUUUAGCAGUUGCUAAUAAAGCAGUUAAUUUAACAAAUGUUUGAUAUUUUUUGUUUUUUAGGUGCCUAAUGAAAAUUAAAAUUGGAGGAGUGUGUACAUUAUAUUGUUUGAUCGACACUUUCUCAAUUUUUAGUUUCUCCACUUACAGUUUACAUUAUUAAACCGAACUUUUUUAAAAUUAAUAAUAAAUUUCAUUAAAUUUAAAAAAGUCAGUUACUUUUUCACAAAUGAAUGUACAAUAAAACAUCAAGUUUAAUAAAGUUCUUAAUUUACUUAUUAUCUAAAACAAUUCAAACAAAAAUAAAUUAAAGAUGUAGGGCGCGCUGAAACUCCAGGCAUGAUAAUCAGUUUCAGUUUUAGAACGAUAAAAUGUGGGUUAAAAUAUCGACGUACCAAAAAAAAAAAAAAAAAAAUCAUCAACAAAAAUUUCAAAAAUCUUUCUUUUGGAUUCGGUGGAAUUUCUCGAGUUUAACCAACGAGUAAACUAGGUUUGCAGCUACACCGAAGUCACAACGAAGCAAAAACAAUAUCAUAAACCUACUAUUAUAUUAUAUUAAACAUGAUGCAUCUCAAUGAGGUAAAAAAAAGAAAAAAAAGGAAAACAAAACAAUCACAAAUUUCCGUAUCAACAUCUAGUAAUGUGCGCACGCGUGCACACACAAAAGAAACACAAAUUAACAUGAAUCUCCUAACCUCGUAAUAUGAAUGGUAAAAGCAAUUCUGAGUUAAAAGUAAGAUCAUAACAAACUGAGUAAACCAUGGUCGCGAAAAACUAAGAGUUACAGUAAAACAAGCAAAAACAACAACAACAAGGACCACCACGACAACAUACUAAGCUCAGCUUAUCAAAAUCGAUAAAACAAGCAGAUCCCUCGACUAAUGAUAGGUCAGUUCUUGUGGAAUCCACAUAAGCAGUUCUCGUCUCCUAUAUCCGACGCAAUGCACUGAGGUCGCCCUUUCCCGUCCCCGUACCAAGUCGCCCUCUUCUCCACCAAUUCAUUCAAGAAACUAUCGAGCUUCUCAAUUGAAACACUCGGCAUCACCACGACGUGUGCGAUACUCCCCUGGCACGCGAGCUGCCACCUCCUUACAAACUCCUCGUCCCUCGGCCUCUCGAACACCACUGUGCUACUUAGCUCAUUGAGCAUCGCGCCGAUUCCGGCUUCUUUUAGUCGGUCUUUUAGGUAGUGGGCGUUUCGUAAGCACUUUUGGACUUCUUUCUGGAACCCCCUAUAGCCCUUUCGGUUUAGGGUGUACCAUAGGAAGAUGGGGGCGUGGCCGUUUCGGCUUCCCAUGAUGGUGGCGUCGCGAGAGGCGAGGUACUCGACGUUCCUUGAGAGCGCGUUAACGUGAUUCAACCUCAAUAUUUGGACUCCACAGGGCAUGGGGCAACCCACAAAUUUGUGGCCCGACACACUCACACUUCCAAUCGGCUUUUUGAAUGUCACUUUAGGAGCCUAAUUAAUGAUACCAAAUAUAGCAACCAAAUUAGUGAUUCGGUAGCUAAAAAAGCAGGCAAAAAUUCAGUAAACCUGAUGUCACGAUUCGCAUUCUAUCCCCGUCAAUAAUCGAACCUAUGGCUAUCUAUAGGUUUUGAUUAUCAAGGGGGUAAAACACAAAUCAAAUCAUGACCUAUCCAGGAGGUUAUCGGCAUUUUUAGCCUAAAAAGUAAUCAUAAGCUGGUAUUACACGGAGAAGAAAGUUAAAUAGAGAAACCUUUCGUGAUGCAAGAUUGAUAUGUUUAGGUAUGACUAAAAGAAAAAUGUUAACUUACUCGCUUAACAAAUGGCAUCAUCAGCCCGAAAAGAGCACCAUCGCAGUGAAUAUAGAAGCGAUCACGAAAGCCACUGUCUUCCAGAGUUUUGAUGACCAAGUCGAGAUCAUCGACAGCUCCCUUUACAGUUGUUCCUGCAAGAUACUAGAGCCUAUUACGACUCGCCUCUGGAACAGGUUUACUAAUCCAAACAAUUAUCAAAUGACGCACGGCAGACAAAAUGUAACACUUUUCCUGGGCAUGAAAAUGAAAUAAGCUUUUAAACCUCAAAACAAAAGCUUUCAUUUGAAGCUCUGCUAUUGCUUCACAGUGGAACUGCUGGGGAGGGCAUCAAUGAAAAAGCCGUUAAUGGUUUUUCGAAACAUUUUGCUUAACAACAUUUGUCCAAAAGCACAAGCCCGGAGAAACAAGCCCUAACGAAUAAGACCAGUAAAUAUCACAAAUGGGGUCACAAAGUGGAAAAUAUGGAGAACAGCUCACCAAUAUUAACAUUAAUAAUAGCCGGCUUGUCCUUGUUCUGUAGAAGCUUGGCCCCAAAAUCAGCGCAAUCAAUCUCACCAGAGACCAGAGUGCCAACCUUAAUACAUUCCAUUCUGUACAUUCUUGCCGCUUUGAAAACUGAAUAGUGAGACUCACGCGAGGCAUAUAGGAUUCCAUCAGGAAAAACCUCUCUCCUGCGAAACCAACCACCAAGGAGGAAGCUAUGUUGAGUCGUUAAGACUAUAUAACAUUGUCAAUUAGACCAUAUUGGUAAAGGUUUUAGUCUCAUUUCAAUAUAAAUUUAUUUCUAAGGAAGAGCACUGACCCAACAAGAAUACCAUGCAAAUUCCCUUCUGUGCCGCAAUUAGUGAUGUAACCCCAAUAUUCAUUUUUCUCCAGUUCCCAAAGGCGAGCAAACCAAUCUAAGACCCCAACUUCAAACUGCCUGGAAUGGACACCGUAGUUGCUCUCAAUGAAUGGAUCGCCAAGGUUGUUGAUGGAAAAAUGUUGAAGUUGGGCGAGAGCACCAUAAUCAAAGUCCAAAUUAUAAGGGUAUCCUACAAUAAAAAGAUUGUAAGUAAGAAGAACAGAAUUUCUGUCCGUUCAAAUGUCAUUUCACACAUCUCUCAAUGCAAGCUCUACAAGGCAGAAUCAGAAGCAUUCUCUGCCCAGCGGUACACUGGAUGAGGCAGCUAUGUUUGGAACUUUGCUAUUAGCGCUAAAAUCUUAAAGUCAUAUACUCAUAUAGAUGUUAGAUCAUAAUCACUACUUGAACAUUGGCAAGUUCUAUAUCAGGAAUUACAAUGAGCUGAAACCUUUGUUGGAAAAAUUGUCAUGAAUAUAUUAUGAAAUAUGAGAAUAUUAAUUGCAAAAUCAGGCAUCCUCAUUGGGUAUAAAAUGAUAAGUUUCCACAACUAACAUAGAAUUGCACACCAUACUCGAGAGGGACCCCAUUUUUUUUAGAAUUAUAGCUCUUCUGAGCAUUAAGAUAUCUAACUUUUAACUAUUCCUCAAAUCACCUUCUACUGCAAUAUCAAUUUAUUUUACAUUUAGCGAUCAAAACAUUCUGUAAAUCAUCUUCUACUACUACAAUUUAAUUAACGUUUCUCUACCAACUUAUUACAUGAAAUGUAUACAAUGCAUGACCGAUAGGUAAUGCCUCCUUAAAGUAUAAGGAGAAUCAUUCUCGCUGAUUCUUCGAUACCUUACAGUUACUGUCUAAUUCUAACAGUAGCACACAGCCUUGAACAAGAUAUUUAGGAUCCCUACUACAAUUUCCACUGGACACGGCCAAUAAAUGUGACAAAAAUUACAAUAACAGCACAAAUAACAGCAUUACGAACAACAUCAAUUAGGAGUCUGUUUGGCCUUGCUUCUGCUUCUGCAUUUAGCUGCAGAUACCAGAAACCAAGUGUUUGGCAACCACAAAUCCAGAGCUUCUGCUGGAAAGUCCAAAUGCAAUUCUAAGACUCAAAAACAAAUGCUCCAAUUUAGAGCUUACGAUUCUGCUUCAGAGAGAAGCUGAUUUAUUGUAAGAAUUCUAUGGAGAGCGAUUUGCCACUUCAAAGAACAGCAUUACACAGUAUAACAGAGCCAAAGCAAGUGUAAAAUGAGGAGAACCAUUAUACCUAAAUGAUGCUUCGUCCUUUCGAUGAGCGACUUCCUAUAUCGCGCGAGCACGCUCGCCAUAUAGGCCUCCCUCUCCCCGGUCUCUUCGUCGUCGGCAUCGGGCUCCUUGAUCGUGAAGCACAUGGUGUGCACGUUCCUCCCGAGCACGAUCUCACGCCUCUUCCCACUCCCUUCCUCUCCACCGACCCCAUUCGACUCCGUGGGCAAGGGUUCCACGAUCUCCUUGGGAUCGAACUCCUCCGGCAACGGCUCCACCUUCUCCCCCAGAUCCAUUAGCCCAUUCCCCACGCUCCCCACCAUGAUCGCAACCCGAAUUCUUCACGCGGAACUCGUCGAUCCUCUAGAUCGGAGCCCAGUGUACCGAAAUCGGAGCAAAUCAGCGCAAAUUCGACGGAAAAUCGCAAAAAAACCAGAGAAAAUUUGAACCAGAUGCGAGAUCCGGAUGUUUAAGGGAUUAAAAAUAGCAGGGAAACCAAAAAAAGCACGGAAAAAAAAAGGGGAAAAUCGGAGAAAAACCUCACCGUGAGCUACGGAAUCGGAGGGGGAAGAGGAGAUCAACGCACGAGUGGAUUCGCCCGAGAAAUGCGUUGAACGUCUCCUCCGGAUCGAGCGGAGAGAUGAGAGGGAGAGAAAUGAGGCGGCGCGAGGAGAGAGAGCGAGAGCGAGAGAGAGAGAGAGAGAGAGAGAGAGGAGUAAGGAGGGUUUUUAUAGUGUCCCUAUUUAUUUAUAUAAAAAGACGCGUCCAAAAUAUCGCGAGUUUAAGAAUAAGUAUAAUUAAAAAUGUAUGGAGACACCCUCAACUAUAGAUUCUUUUGAAAUUAGCCCCCCUCAACAUUAGUUUUUGCGUUAUCUAAUUUUAUUUUUUAAAAUUAAAUUAUUUUAGUUAAUUAAGUUAAGGAAAGGUAAAAUAUACGGAGAUCCCCUCAACUUCUAAUAUUUAGAAUCAAAAGAUUCUAGUCAAAAAAUUCAAAAGUCUUAUCAAACCUAUUUAUAAUAUUUAAUUUGAUAAAAUUUGUAACAUAAUUAAGUAGUAAAGGUUGAGGUGAUCGCAAUUAAAAAUAUAAAGUUGAAGAGCCUAUUUCAAAACAGUGUUAAUUUUGAUUACUUGAGUUUAACUUAUUAAAAUUUGUAGAAAUCAUAAAGUUUACAAUUAAUUACUUAAUUUAUUAAGAAAUAAGCCAGUUGAAGGGUGUUUUCGAAAUAAUGUAUAGUUGAGGGGCUUCCAUACAUUUUAGAACAAAAAAAUUGAAAAAAAUGGGACAACGGAAAUAUCCCGACAGUCGCAACGUGGUUUGCAUUGGGGGGACACGUGUAAAGUUAUCUAAUUUUUUUUUAAAAAAAUUAUGUAUAACUUUUCAAUAUUAUUUUAUUUCUUAAUUUUUAAUAUACUCUGAGAAGGUAAGGGUCAAUUCAAUAAAUCGGAUUAGAUUAUUUACAAUUUUUUUUUUUUUUGGUCAACAUUUAACUCUUUAGAUAUUUUACAAUAAUAAAUAAAUAAAUUUAGUUAUCUAACGUAAGCAAUGAAAAAUUUAAUGAUUGAUAUUCGAAAUUUUAAAUUUUAAAUUUAGUUAUUUCAUAUUUUUAUUUAAAUUUAUUCUUUAAAAAAUAAAGUAGUGUUUCGAGCUUCGUAUUUCUAGUUAACUCACUUCACAUUUUUGAGUUUUUUUUUAUUUUUACAACAAAUUUACAGUGUUUUUGAGCAUUACUUUUUUUAUACUCCCAAAAAGCAUCCAAACACCCAUUUGUAAAUAUAGAUACUAUUUUUUUGAUACUGCAAAAAAUUGUAUCAUUUAUAAAUUUUUUUUUUUUUGAGAGAAAGAUAGUACGCUACCUGCUUCAUUUAAUAGGAUAAAUGAACUAAGCAUACAAAGUGGAAGCAACUUGGGCUUCCAAGGCAAAAACCAAAUCGGAAAGUGGGAAAACAAAAGUGGAGCAAGAAAGAAAGGAAAGAAGAAGAGAUUAGAGGAAGGUAGCCAGUUGACGGGUUAAGGGAGCGAGGUCCACGAGCUAAACAGGAUUAAAGCUCUGUCCAAGGCUCUGAUGACGUUGGGAAGAUUCGAACGAAAAACAAAGUUGUUACGCUCGGUCCAGAGAACCCGCCAAGUUGCUGCUAGCUUGGUUAAACCUUUAGUUCUGGUAGAGGCAUCGGGCGUUUGAGAAAAUAGGUUCCAAAGUCGUAGGGCGUCUCCACCCGAAGCUUCGGUGGGUGCCUCAGCCAAUCGCCGGAGAAGAAAUCGGGCGAAGACACAAGUGCAGAAGAGGUGGUCGGAACUUUCCAAGAAAAAUGCAUAGAAGACGCAACCUGGUUCUACUUGGGUCCCUCGCCCGAUCAAUAUGUCCGCCGUGCCGCCGUGAGCAACCUCUUGCGAAGGAGCAGCCAGACGAAGAUUUUGAUUUUAACAGGGAUCUUAAGAUUCCAAAGUUGUAGAUUGAGCGGGUUACUUUGUCCAGCGUACGUGAUAAAUUUGUACAGGAAGUUAACAGUGAACUUUUGGUGAGAGGUCCACAUCCAUUUUAGCAAAUCUGGUCUGGUGCUUGGGGUGUAAUGGAGCAGCCGAUCCUUAAGAAACGCCAGUUGUCUUCUAUUUUCCGAAGAUGCAUAGGUUAUGUAUCAUUUAUAAAUAUAAAUACUACUUUUGUGCUUUGUUUACUUUUACAAUGAAUUUGCAGUGUUUUUGAGCAUUAUUUUUUUCAUACACCAAAAAAAAAAAUCCAAAUAUCCAUUUAUAAAUAUAUAUAAAUAAUUUUUUCAUAAUAAACACAAAUACUUUUAAUACUACAAAAUUACAGAAUUCUCAAACAAGUCUUACAUUUGCGAUUGAAUUAGAGCAAAAUCAUUAACAAAUCAAUCGAAAAUAUCAAUUGGUCAAUAUAUUAAUGAUUUAUUGACGGAUUAUAUUUUUAUUUUGAUUAAAAUUCACUAGGAUAUAUGUAAGAUGUUAAAUAUUAGAAAAGCAUUAGUAUAUAAAAAAUAAUAUCUCAAAGCGUAACCCAAGUAACAACUACUAUAGUAAAACUAUUAACUAUAUACAAAAAAUAAAAACCACAAUUCAAACGACGCUACGUGGUAUUACCUCGUCCUCACUUAAAAAAAAAAAAAAAAAAAAAAUCUCCAACGCAAAAUGCACCGCCAAUCGUAUUUUGCCACGUGUUCACCAUGCCGGGCGUUGUCGCCGACAUAAAACCGGGUUCGCGCCAUUAAAACCGAGCCCGCGAAAUUGGCGCGAGAUUUCAAAAAAAUCCAACGGUCGCUUCAUUUUCCCGCGACACGAUAAAUUGCGGAUUCCGUGGGCCCCACGGGCGGCGCCAAAAACAUCGGGAUUCCGCAUCUCGCGACCACUGGAAUCUCCACGUGGGCGUCUCGAUUACGUGAUCAGAUCCGGCGUAGCCAAUGAGAGUUGUCCACGUGCACCGGACCCCGCCACUCUUCAAACUCGGUAGGCGCUUUUGUGUGUGUCGUUGAUUGGAAUGGGCUUGGGCCUUAAAUUUGGGCCUGAGCCCAAUUAGGCCCACGUGCUUACGUCAGCAUAUCUCAUAUUGGCCAAUGGGAAUAGUCCACGUAGGAACAGUCAGAUUCUUUUAAAAUGCUCCUCAAACUGCAAAUGGGCUUGGCCUGUUAGGAUCCGUACCCAAACACGUCACUGAGGAACGCAAAAAAGUAACCGUAAACUACUCUUCGAGUCCGAUUUCGAGCUCGGUUUGGAGCCCGUGAAGAGCCCGAUUUCGAGCUCGGUUUCAGCAAUUUUGAGCGCGAUUUGGUUUCUCAGUCUUUGAAUGCAACUAGUUUUUCGUAAUAAUCGUUUGACUCUGAUGUGUUGGCUUAAAUGGGCCAGUAUUCUGCCAUGUGGCGGAAUGUUAUGUUGAAUCGAAUCAUGUUCGAAAUAACGUGAGGCUGGGUGGGCCGAGUUAUGUUCGAAAUGGUGUGAGAUUGGUUGGGCCGAGCCACAAUCGUCUGUAUGUUUUAAAUGAAUUAGUUGCGUAUUUCUAACAGCUCGUAAUUUUGAAAUUAAUGAUUAGCGUCAACGAUCCGACAUGAUGCGCAUGAGAUAAUAGGUGAUAAAGAUUUUGGAUGAGUUAUAAAGCUAAGAAUGACACUUCAAUAAUAAAAAAAGUUGAAAGAUGAAUCUUUGCUUUGCUAUUCCAAGUUGAGAUUGGAAUAACAAACAUGCAUCUGUUGUGAACCACAACCACAACCACAACCACAACCACAACCACAAAACUUAAGCUUUAAGCUUAUAUGAAUCAAAUGCAAGUGCUCCUGUUUGUUGGAUUGUCCUUCUCAUAUCUCAACUCCCAAAGCCUUUCAAAAAUAAAGAAAAAAAGAAAAAGAAAGUCAAAGAGAACUAUUAAAAUCAAGAGAGAGAGAGAGAGAGAGAGAGAGAGAGAGAGAGAGAGAUUCUUGCUAUUUAGGGUAUCUUUGGUUUUGCUUCUGCUGUUACUUUUAGUAUCAACGAUCUCUGUUAAAGCGUGUGGCAAACAGAAAAAUCAAGUGCGUUUAGUACCAUACGUAGUUGGAUGAGAUUCUGAAAUUUCAAAAGCAGAAGCUACAACUUGGUGCAUCUUAUUUUGCUCUAGGGAACAAAAAACUGCUGGAGAUAGUUUAAUAUGUUUGCUUUUUUUCAAAUAAGUCGAUUCAAAUAACAUUGUAUCAUCCAAUAAGGCAAUAUGAUAACUUAAUUAAAAUACAACCUUAUCACUCUCUUUUUCUUUGAAAUGAAACAAUUGAGUCAACAGUCAAUGAUUAUGAGAACUCAGGUUCAGUUAUGAUUUACUUAUUUGGUUACUAAACUUUUAAGAACCUUGAUAUAUAUAUAUAUAUAUAUAGAGAGAGAGAGAGAGAGAGAGAGUCCGGCUGCUAUAUUUUUAUGAGUAUAAGCCCUUUUGUAUUCAUAAAUUUUCGAUCGUUAGAUCUAUCUAUUUGACCAAUUUCAUCAAUUAGAUCAUACUAUUUAAAAUCCUAGAAAACCGCUAUCAUUUUAACUGUACAUUCCUUCAUCCAACGACCGAAGGCUCUUCAUUGCGACAGCUCUCCUUGCUGCUGCUUUUUGCUAUUUCAAAAGGCACUUUUAAAAAUGUAUAAAUUACAAAAAAUCGAGCAAUGUGCCUACGUAAUCACGCACGCAAUCGUUCUGUGUAAGGACCUCUUACAAUUGGAUACUAAACCAAUUUAAUAAUCAAAAGAUCGUGGAUUAAUUAAGCAACCACUUGUGGGUUUAUUAAUAUAAUGAUAAGAUACAAACUUAACCAUAUAUACGAGAGCGAUUACUUAGACUAAAAUGAUGUUAUUAGUUGCUUAAUCUCCGUCGAAAUGUCAGGUCAAAUGCAGGUUAUUAUCAGAAAGAGAAGUUGUUAUUGAAAUUGCAAUAUACUUUGACUCCCCAUACCUCAAAAUUUGACCUUUUUUUUAUUAAGAAAUGAAUAGUAACAAAUUUUGAAACGCUUCGAUUGGUUGUGACAUUAAGUAUUCAACAUGUUGACAAAUUUGGCUACAUUGAUUUUCGGGAUAAAUUCAAUAUGGUCAAAAAAUUUAGUGUUCAGCAAAUAAUUGAAAAUAGAGUCAUAAAGUACACAACAUAAAAAUAUUUAAAAUUAACUAACAUAUAUUUAUCUUAUUUUCCCUUGCAAUAAUAUCUAAAAUGCUUCUUUUUUUAAAAAAAUGGAUACUUGCUAAAUUCUUCAUAUUUUUUUACUAUUCAUAGCUAUUUUUCCCACUUUGACUAAUGAAAUUAAAACACAAGAAUUAUUCAUAUAAAAUCUCCAAAAUAUUAGACAAUAUUGUGACUAGGGUCAAUAAGACAAUUAUUAUUAAUUAAACUAAUUUAUAUAGUGGAGAAAAAACUGUUGCCCCUCCACUUUGAUGAAAGGGAAACAAACUCCAAACUUUAAUAACAAGUUGGUCCAAAAAAUGCAAGUGUGAUAGCUACUUCCAACCUUAUACUGUGGAGGGUGUUGGUGUUCAAAUUUGGAAAAUGAAAAAAAAGGGGGAAAGAUUCGUACACGGUCGCAAGUUCUUUUUAAAGAUCAUAAAUGGCUCUUAGGCGAUUCAAAAUUCCAUGGUACACCUCACUCGCUAAUCUAUUAUAUAUCACGUAUGUACGUAGUUUAUAAAAGCAUGCUCACCUUUUGUCAUCAGUGUUGUAAACUUAUGAUAUAACCUAAUAUACGUAAUUUACAACGCUUAAAAGGCCGAUGUAUGGAAAAUGCAUGAGUUUUAGAGAUUUAUCAUCUCAACUAUAUAUAGUGGGACAUCGUUCGAUUUAUAAAUGUAAACAUCAAAAGUUCGUAAUUUUUUGACUCGCAGACUCUUUUAGUGUCAUGGAACACAUUUAACAGAUUAAAAUUUGAGUUUAAAUAUUCUACCACAAGUUUUAGAUGUUCAAGGUACAAUCCAAUGAGUGCAUUCAAUAAUUACUCUAUUGAUGUUCAAAAAGAUGGAGGGGAUAAUGUACCAUGAUCCCUAACUAAACACUCCCUUAGUCAAACUCUUUAUUAAUACAACCUUUUUCUUUUUCUUUUUUUCCUUUUUGUUUGGUAACACGCGCGCGCGCAGAGAGAGAGAGAGAGCUGAGAUUCAUUUGAGUCAGCAAUGAGACCUAAUCUCUUGUCUACAUGUGGAAAUGAAAAGGAUAAGCUAUCCUCUAAACUCAACAAAAGUAAAAGGAAUUUAGGGGGUGGCCAAAGCUUUCCACCUCCAAGUGACAUAUAAUACAAUCUUUUAGGACAAAUAUAUAUUGUUAUGUUUUGGUGGACACUAGUGCCUCCAUUUUCUAAUCUAUAUAUCAUAACCUAUGCAUCAUCCUAAUUAGGUUCUUAAAUAGGGAAAGGCUUUCAAUUCUUGAUAAUAGUGUCUUUAUAAAUUAUUGAUCCAUACAUUAGCAAAUAUGUCCAUAUAACAUCUUUGGAAUAGAGGAAUGAGCAAAUAAAAAUAGUUUUUAUUAUAUGUACCACCACGAUAGUUGCUCUAAGGUUGUGUUCUUAUUUUUCUACUAUAGCAGAAGUUCACUUUUUAAAUAAUAAUUAUCUACGCACACAUGAGCAUAGAAAAAAGAGUCGUGCAAACUAUCCAAAGCUUUAUGUAUAUAUAUAUAUACUCUUUUUGCGAAACAUUCAGCAAAUAUAUCGUGAGUAGAAAACUCAAUAUCAAUCACAUUAACUUUAUGUGCGGGGUGCUUUUUGGUACCCCAAACGCCGAUAUAUACAUUUUUUUUUGUGAGAAAAAUACUUUUUAUUUUCUUUAAGCACAAGCUAAUGGUGACAUGGGCUAUCAUGCACCUUAAUCCUCAUAAAAAAAGACAGGGUUAGCACAUCAAGUGUGUGCCCCCCUUUGAAAGGCAAUUACCCUCUCAUUGGAGAAUCAUACCAAAAGAAUCAUCCCAAUAGUGCCUACUUUUCCUUUUCUUUUCUUUUCUUUUUUUGUUUUUUGUUUUUCUAUAAGAUUCCAAUUCCCACUUUGUUUUUGAUCCUAAUCCACAAAUUGGGUGGUAUAGGAAAAGUGUAUGUGUAAUUUUACACAAUACUCUCAAGGGGUGCUUUGGUCUUUUCCAAAGGGUGAGAUCACUCUCUUUUGUGAUUACAAUUCACAAACUUUUCUAAUAAUGGUAGUUAGGAAUGUCAAUAGGUAUGGAUAUCCAAAAUUUUAUCCGAAUCCGAAUCCAAAUGAAACGAAUAUAUCCGAUGCUAAAUGGAUAUGGAUUCGGAUAUGGAUAUCAAAAAUAGAAAUCCGACGGAUAUGAAUUUUGACUGUACCCGAUCUGAACCUGAACCCGACUCGAACCCGAAUUUAUUUUGUAUUAUAUAUAUAUAUAUAUAUAUAUAUAUAUAUAUAUAUAUAUAUAUAUAUUUGAUGUUAUAUUUGAAUUUGUAUUUUAAAAAUUUAGAUUUAAUAUAAUAUAUUUUGAAAUAUUGAAAAAAAAAUUGUUUUGGGUUCAAAUUUUCGAAUUCGGGUUUCGGAUUUUUGGUUGGGUUCGGGUUUGGAUAUGGAUUUUUAAAAUCCGUCGGGUUCGGGCUCGGGUCUCGGGUUUGGAGUCGGGUUCGGAUUCGGGUUCGGAUUCGGGUUUUUGAAAAUCCGCCCCGAAUCUGACCCGUUGACGUCUCUAAUGGUAGUUGGUAUGUGGAUGUCUCACUAGUUGUGAGUUUUUUUCCUUAGAUUAAUUAGCUAUAAAUGCCAUAGUAGAGGAUCUAAUUAAGUAGCUAAAAAAGUAGUUAAAAUAUGAAUUGAUUGAAACACUUUUUAUGAUGGUAGGUCCUACAAUUUUAUCUUAACAAAAAAUAAUACAAAGUUAUGUACAAUUAUUUUUAACCUAUAAUUAUGCAUAAGAAGGUGAAUGUCUCUAUCAAUUAUCAUGAUGAGAGAUAAAUAUAAACCUAUCUAAUUAAGGGCUUGAGUUUUCUUGUAUCUGUUAUAUGCCAAGUGCUCAAAUUAUUCUAACUUUGGAAACAAAAUAUGACUAAUAAUUACCAAUUGCAAAUAUUGAAGUAUGCAUUCAACAUCAAGCCUUUCUCUUUUUCUUAAACAAAAAAUAAAAUAAAAAUAAAACAAAAAAUUGCAACAUGUUAUAACAAAUCCUUUUACACUACAAAAUGUACACUAAACUCCAAUAAAAGAACAUCCAUGUGGUGAAUUGGUCAAUCCAUAUAUACAUGUAUUUUACAACUCUACUAAUUUUUUACCAUUUUAAUUAAAGCCAUAAUACAUAAUCACAGGGGUAAUACACAAACACAGUUGAAACGACCCCAAUUUAUGUUAUAGCGGUAUGCUUAGUUUUUCUGUUAUUUUUUAUUUUUUAUCGAAUCGAAUCCAAUCCAAAAUUGUAUUGCAUAGGAUCUGAGAAAUCGUGUCGUAUUUACUAAUAUCUCUGAGAUACUAAAUAAUUUCUAUUCUCAAUAUUGCUGUAUCUUGUUUUAUCUAACCUAAUACAAUCUUAAAUGACGAACAAGUCACUACAAAAAUUAGUUGUCUCACAUAUUAAACAAAAAUAGUUCUCAUUUUUCUCAACAUUAAUAUUAUUAUUAUUUUUUAUUAACAUAAAAAUUUGAAUGUUAUCUCAAUAGUCAACACCUGACCAAAAAGCUGAACCCACGCUUCUCAACUCAACUCAACUCAAACUCAACUGCUUUACAACUUUUCUACAUAUUUUUGGUGAUCCGACCACCUAAUCCGAUCCCGUACAACACCAAAACACCAAACACCGAUUUAAAAAGUACACGUGGCGGCAUCUGGGCUCACUCGCGGCAGAUCCCGCUCUGCGUGGGGACAAUCUCAUCCGCUCACGUCGUUUAUCCACUUCCGUAUCCUUCGCCAGUAUCAUACCGUAGACCGUCUCCACCACGUCAUGAGUAGAUUACCCAAUCAGGAGCUUGUACCUCCGCUUACCUUUACGAUAAGAGGCGGAGGGGAAAAUGACGUGGUGGAGAUGGUGCAUUUAAAUAUUUGCUCCCCUCUCUCUCUCCCCCGGGCUAGAUGAACAUUCCACGAGAGGCUCAAACAUUCCAUCAAUUUCUCCCCUUCCCUCUCUUUGGUGCGAAAAGACGAUUUUGCCCUCGCCGCUCCCCGUUAUUUACUCUCCUGUAUCUCCGUGUUUCGGAUACCCCUAUACACCGUCAAAGAUCUCUCUCUCUCUCUCUCUCUCUCUCUCUCUCUAUUCUUCUUCUUCUAACCCCGCCAUUUCUCUCCUGCGAAGAUGAACCCUAGGAUUGGUGCUCCACCGGAACCCUAGGAAUCGCGAUCGAUGGAGUGUGAUACUUGACGGGAACGAGGAGGCCGUGGCGAACCCCGACUUCAAGGAGCAGCUCGAUGCUCACUUCGCGCGGUUGCCCCCCAGGUGAGCUGAGCUGCGGCGAUCUCGUUCUCGCGGUGAUACUUUAGUGCUACUGUGUUUGGAUUUGGAUUGAGGUUGGAGAUGGAGUUCGAUGCUCGAGUUGCUUGCUGGAUUUGGUGUUUGUUUGCUUGGAGUCCUUCGAAUCUUAGUGAUUUAAUGGAUCUUCUCAUCUUUUCCCUUUUUCUGUAGUGAUUCGAUUUCGCUUUGGGGUCGAGUAUUUUGAUCUCUGUUGUUUCUAUAUUUCGUAAUUAGGAUUUUACCUUUGAUUCGACUAAGCUCCUGUUUAGCCAUUAAGAGGAAGUUACUGAUUCGCCUUCUUUACUUUAGAUUUGGUCUUCCUUUUACUAUUUCAUAAGAUUGAGUGGUAUAGUAAAUGAAGACUAUAUCUAAUUCUUUAGCUAAAGUAUUCUAAUCAGUUCCUUAUUCAAAAUAGUUAUCUAGUUCGGAUGGUUUCGUAAUGGUGAUUCCUACUUUCUUAUACUUGAAAGUUAAUCUUCUGUUAUAAUUUUUGCAGUUAUCAGCUGGAUGUGAACUUCGAGCGAGCAGAAGAUGUGUUGAUACAUCAGAAGAUUCUGGCAGAUGCUAGAGAUCCUGAGAAGCGCCCGGUCUGCCAUGUCCGUUUCCUGAAGGUACAGCUCAACUAACCUUGACUCGGUUUGAGUUAUAUGUUGCAGCUUUAUGUUAGUAAAAUAAAAUAGAAUCUCUGUAUUUCUCUUUUUCUCAUAUCAAUACUCCCUGUGACUAAUUGAUGGUUGAGAGCGAAAUUGAGGAAUGAGUUAUUCUCUGGAAUCCUUCAGGGCAUAUCAUUGGGGUCCUUUAAGAAGCUCAUAACUUAUUGCAAGAUUUUCUUUUGAAGUAAAAAACACGGUUGGCUUGCUAUUUUAGUGGAUGAAAUUUGACAAGUUAUGUCUCUAUAGCAGACUUAAAAUUGUGAGUUGUGACCAUAUAUAUAAUGAAUAGAUAUUACUGUACCGUUCAUUUAAAUACAAAGCUUUCCCUUUGUGAUUUUACUAACCAACUAAUAAAGAAGGAAGCUAGUAUUAAGGUGCCAUAGUUCUUUAAUUGCUUUUCUCUCCUUUUCUUUCUUCUCGUGGCCUAACCCUUACCAAUGGAAGGUGACAUUUGGUUGGAGAUAUGUAUUAACAAAUAUAGUUUACUUCCAUUUGCUUGGUCUGUAUGAAGUGUAAGUGGAAGCAAUGAAGAGUGAAGUUCCAAAACAAUGGAAAAAACUUAUAAUUUUUGAAACCCCCUUGGCGGAUAUGAUUCUCAGAACUUAAUGUACCCACUCCCACAUCUAACCUCCAACCAAACACUGUCAAACAUUUUGCUCCAAUUUUUGUAAUGUCAAGGCAUGCUUAUGGCAGAGACAUUUAGGGAUAGAAAUCACCCAACAUGUAAUAUUUUUAUUUUCGUCAAAAUCUUGAUGGUACUGAUCAUAAGGGAGAAAUGACAUAUAUUUUCAGGUUCUCUGUCUGUUGAAAGGUGCAUUUUUCAACGUAUUGCAUUUUCAGUGAUAUCUUUGUCCUUAUCUCUUAGUUGAUUUCAUUCAAGUGCCCACAUAUGGCAGCAAUCAUUUAUCAAAUCCUAGGCAUUUUGUCCAGGACUUCAUGCUAGUCUAGGGACUUUUAGCCUUUAUAUGCUGUAACUUCAUACUUGCUUGUUUCUCUAGUUGUCAUUCGGGUAGAAAUUGACAUUGUGGGAUUGACUUUGAACCUUUCUCGAAGCUCGAGGACAAAAAUUCGGACUUGACAGUAAACUCAGAAGAGGUUGAAGAUGGGACUGAAGUCGCUGAUGCCCUCUCAGCAAGGUAUACAAAUUCUCUGGCCAAAUAUAUACUUACAUUAAUGAUCUAGAAAUAAUGAACUACACUGUUUUCAAACCCACAGGUUUAAUUUAUUGCAUUUAUUUUCCUACUUUCACGUAACAAGCUAAAAUUGUCGUUGCACAAUAGUGUUUGCAAUUAGUUUCUGAUCUAAAAUAAUUACCGUAAGGUUACAGGUACAGUCUUUUUUGUAUGGAUUGUACAUUUUUUAGUUUCUUCACGAUUUAAUUACUUCCAGCACAUAGAGAUGCGAAUAGAAGAGGAAAAAAACUAAAUAGAAGGGGAACUAGAUUUAUAAGUUGGAUUGUAUCCUGAAUUGUGUGUAUGCAUAUCUAUGUAUGUAACUAUGUAUUGAUGUAUAUCUAUUUCUGAUGUCGUCCUUCGAAAAUAUUGCCUACUUUCUGUUCAUUAACUAAGUGUUUGCUCUUUUUGUAACGCGCAGGCAUGAUGUGGCAUACACCCCUAUUCAUGAAAUAAUCUUUUCAACUGUUGACAAACCAAAACUUCUUAGUCAGGUUGGUGUGGCAGAAUUUCUUUAUGUUUUUGUUCAUAUAUUAGUUAGGGAAUACUUUUUGUUUUUGUGUUAAUACCACCGUAGAUGGUGAGCACCCUAAAUAGUAAUUUUAAUGAGGGAAUAGUGUUUCGUAUAUGCAUUUUCACUCACAGUACUUUUUCUGUUUGUUUAACAAAUGAUGUUGUCUAAAUCAAACAUUAUUUAUUCCUGUUGCACUGAAUUGGACUGCUGGAUGGUUAAGGCAUCAUAUGGAAUUCAUUUUCAUUUAUUCCUGUUUAGUUUUUAGCUUUGCUGUUUGUUUAGGAUUUGAAUGCCCCUUACAUUAUCUUUUUAAUUAUCUAAAUUCUACCGACCAUCCCUAGCGCAAGUGGCAAAGGGCUUGGUAGUUGGUAUUCGAGUUCCCAAGUUCGAAUCCUAGUUGAUUCACAUUUUCAGCUAAGUUUAUUUCUGAAAGAAAUAAACGAAGCGAGUAGCAUGCUACCUUUCUCUCCAAAAAAAAAAAAAUCUAAAUUCUGUGUAAUUGGAUGUGCCGGCAGUUGGUGGAUUGUUUGCAAUCUAAGAUAUGUUUAGCAACAACAAACAAAAGCUUGUUAGCGACUUUCAUCCGUACAUUGUUCUUUUUUCCCCAAAGAUAGAGUUUGGAAGCUAGCAAUAAGAAGAGCAAGCUAAUAAGCUAUAAUAAGGACAAAUUGAGUUUUAAAAACAAGAACAUAAGCAGUACCACAUGAGGCGUUACCUUAUUCUUAAAGAGUGAAAAGUUAACACAUUGGGCCUGAUUUGAAUCAAUUCAUAGUUUGACCAAAAUCAGUUCUUCGUCGCCUCUGUCUAAAAUUCGUUAUGAGUGUCUAAAUUUUAUUUAGUGUCUUGUGGAAUUCAGACUAAAAAAAUCAUGGGGCCGUAUAUCACGAAGUUGGGAAUUAGUAUCAUUCGGUUUUCUUUCAAUGAGUUUUGAAAGGGGGCUCAAGGCCUUCUUCUUAUUGGUAUGUUUGACUGGAUAGGUAGCAUUUGUAGUCUUAUUUGGACUAAAAUAGAUUGCUUUCUGAGCUUUGGAUUUAGCAAGCCCACCCAACAAUCUCUUAGGUAGCCAAUGUAAAAAUUUUGUUAUAUACCCAAAAAAAAAAAUCUAAAGAGAUUUGUUACAUAUUCCUAUCAAUUGUCAUUUUUUAUGUUCUCAUUAUCAAUCUUAUAGUUGCCUCAGAUGUAUGUCCUUUUGUGCGAGUUUUGUAUUUUCCUUGUUGGGUUUCAAUUUGUUUUGGCAUAUUGUUGCUCUAACCAAUUUUACCCUCCUAGCUUUCCACUCUGCUAUCCGAUAUCGGACUGAAUAUCAGGGAGGCUCAUGUCUUUUCGACAACAGAUGGCUAUUCUCUGGAUGUAUUUGUUGUCGAUGGAUGGCCUAUUGAGGUAAUUUUGUUUUCCAGCCGUAUGAUAUUUCUUUGAUAAACACUAUCUGAGUUGCCUUAUGUGGUCUGCGUAGUACUAGAGGCAAGAGUUGUGCUUAGUCUUUAUGCUAUAGAAGCAUGUGAGGGAAAUUAUUGGCAUCAUGGUGUUAAACAUCUUCAACUUAAAUCUGUAUUAAUCAUAUCUUUAUCUAUUGGAAACAUUGUUUUGGAACUCAACAGUCAAUGAUCUUAACCUUACACUGAAUAUGAAACUUAUGUGUGCUAAUAAAGUACUUGAAGUCAUAAUGAUAGGUAGAUAUGGGAUAAGAAUAUCCCAUAUAUGCUGUCUAUACAGGAAUUGAAGUUUUCAUUACACUAUUUUUAUUUUUUUAAAAAAGAAAGUUUUGUCUAUUUGCUUGUACUCCUGCAUUGUAUCUCACAAAGUCAAAAUGCAAUUUAAAAUGUUUUUGUUCCUCUAUAUCCUCUUCAUUCAUAUGUUGAUAUUUGAGGGACCUUAGUUUGUCUUCGCACAUCUACAGAAAAGAGACAAAGGCUAUGUCUUCCUAGAAGGCUUGGUCUCUUGAUUUAGAUUUAGUAUUAGAUUUUCCUCUCAGAACCAACUGCUUUUAUACCACGGAUUUUCCUGUUUGAAUUAUUAUAAGCAAAAUAAUCAUGAUUUUUUUCUUUAACUAUGAAUUCCACCUAAGAUUAUUGGAAGGGCUCCAACUUUUAUAAAUAUUGAAGACAGAGAUUGAGAUUAACUUGCCUGUGGUCUUAUAAAAUUUGUGGCCUAUCUGAUUUAACAUUAAUAAUGUAUAAUAAUCAUGCUGUGUAAGAGCAUAACAUAAAAGCAUUUGCAGCUUUGCUGUUAUAUUUGUUGCAAUUGAAAAAUAAGAACUUCCAAUGGGUUUGGCACAUUACUGAAAGAUGUGGAAAAUAUUCAAUUCGGUAAGCUGCAACCUUCACUAUCACCUACAGAAUAAAUGUUGUUUCUUUUGCCUUUAUUUUUCUAUUUUCUUGCUUUUCUAAUUGAGUGCCUUGUUGAGGAUUUCUGACUUUUAUUCUAGGAGAGCAGGAUAUAUUGGAAUAAACUGCCGAAUUUAAGAGAACUGUCCUGUGUCAACCUGAAGUUUAUAUCGUUUUUUCCUAGUCUCUUAUGAAUACACAAGUAAAUUACAUGUAAACCUCGGAGCUUAAUCUGAAGUUUAAAUCUUGGAAGGAUGUGUGGUGAUGUGUCCUUUGCGGAUGAUAUUCUGUUGAUUAAUGCAAAGAUGAGGAAAUAUGAAGAUCUAAAGUUACAGAUAUAUGGGAAGUGCUACAAAAGUGAAAAAAAGAUGUUGCCUUAGAGAUAUUAAUUGGAGAAAUUGGUGCUCUGUUUGACUAUAAAUCUCUGCAUUUGCAGAUACAGGAAAAGAUUGAGAAACAUUGCCAAAUUAUAGAAUAAUUGUGUGUGAAUGAAAAUGGUGUAUAUAAUAUUUCUAGGUAUACAUUUUUUUUUUUGCUGUCAAAAUCACUACUAGAGGCUUACCUAUUUUAGGUGAAUAGACCGAGUGGUAUAUUUUUGUUAUCAUGCUCCAAAACCAUUUGGCGGCCUGUCUAUGUAAACUAUGAAUAUAAUUCUAUACAUUAAAGACAGGUGUCUUUGCCAUAUUUGAAUAUUGCUGACUCUGCAAUUAUGUGCUCAGGAAAUAGAUGGCCUGCACAAGCAGUUGGAGGCAUCAAUCGCUAGAAACGAGGUAGCUAUAUUUUUAAUUUAUGUCAUGUACAGACUAAACUCUCUUGGUAUUUUUGUUUGGCUUUUUGUCUUACAAUGUGGAGAUGCCUUGAUUGUAAUGUUUUAUUCAUGCUACUUUCUACGAUCUUGUUCUCUAAGACAUAUUUUUCAAAGGGAAAUUAUGGAUUAAAUAGCACAAAAAAAUGAAGCAAUAAAGAAAAGGACAUUUUUCUGCCAAGCACAUAUGAUAAUUCGGCGUGUGCUGCCUUGUUUCGAGCGGCAUUGGUUGUACCACGCUAUCCUUUCUUGAACCUACAACGUACACAUUGAGUAAUUGACAAGUUUGAAUCCAUUAGGUUAAUGCUUAUUGUUUACAUCUAAUGGGCUAACAGAUUUAAUAACUUUUUUUAAAAAAAACCCUCUUGCAACCAAUAUCCAUUAUUGCAUUUCAUUUGUGACUGUUAAAAUUGUCUUUAUAAUUGAAAAUGCAAGAGAAUAUGAAGUACUUCAGAUUUAAACAGUUGCAUGGAAGUUGGAACAAUUUUUUGGUUUCAAAUACGAAUAACAUGGAUAUCCGGGUGGAUCCUGCUGUGCUUGUUUGAGAACUUUUGCUUUGACCAAAUGAUCAAUUGCAACAGUAAAAUGGGAGAGCACUAUUCUUGUAUAUGGAGUAAUUGUGGCAUCAUAUUGUAGCUGGACAAUUCAUUCAUUUGGUUAUUCCUUUAUGCAUCAUUUUAGGCGAUUAUUGCUCUUUUCUAAGAAAUAUUAAUUGGAACAUAAUUCGUAGAUUUAUUGCCGUUCUUCUGCUAUGCUUGUGACUUCUGUUAAUGCAUAUGAACUAGAGCAUGUUGACAAACUUUUUACUAGUUUCAAAUUUCCUUAUAGGUUGUGCUAUGAUAUAAUAUAUUGUUUCUUUUGAGAGUAUUCAGGGAUCAUGGUCUGGCUCAUCUCACUCUUCAGCCUCAGAAAAAUUAAUAGGGCUGCAACCAAAGGCAGGCGAGUGGGAAAUCGACAAGAGAUUCUUGAAAAUGGGGGAAAAAAUUGCUUCCGGAUCUUGUGGGGAUUUGUGAGUCAAGCAAUAUGCUAGAAUCUUUAAUAGUGGUUGUCUAUUUCAUUUCUAAUUUAAUGAUUUCUUAACACGGGACUACGUAUGAUGCAUAUGAAAAGGUUUCGGGGAAGCUACUUUGGUGAGGAUGUUGCUAUAAAGGUUCUUAGACCUGAGAAUCUAAGUGAAAAUAUCAAAGACGAAUUUGCUCAAGAAGUAUGUAUAUUAAGGUAAGAUAGUGUGGCAUUUUAAAAAGAGCUCUAUCAAAGAAGAGUAUGACUUUCUGCUUUUUUGCUUUUAAGUACUUGUAUUAUCUUGUUGGCAGACUAUAUUAAUAUAAUAUUUUAACUUUUUUUUUACUCAUAUCCAGAGAAGUCAAUCAUAAUAAUGUUGUUCGGUUCAUCGGUGCCUGGAUGAAACCACCUCAGUAUUGCAUAGUUACAGGUAAUCUUUCUAUUGGUUUUGGUUCAGUGUCUUAUGGUGAGCAAUGUGUGGAUCAAUAUACAGUUGAGCAAUAUCCUUUUCUUACAUUUUUACGCUUUGAGUUUAGCUUUCUUUUAUACAGACAUAAGCUCAAGGUGGCUAACCUCUGUAACAUCUUUUGCUAGGUGAUCCCUGUUUGUCUGAAUUUUUCUUAUUGCAUCAGUUUGCUUUGGAGAUGUAUUUUAAACGGAUAUGAGGUGUGACGGAAUUCAAAUGCUUUCCUUUUUUUUCUUUUUUUUUAUGUGUUUGUAUCANGGGGGGGAGGGAAAUAUAAGAUGCGUUGACCUUGGUUCCUGCAGCAUACUAGAAUCUUGUCUUUUAUCACUAGUAACCUUAUUUCGGGCAAAUUAUCGCGUGUAGUUCAAUAAGUAUUUUUAUCUGUUUUAUCUCGUACUGCACUGCAAAUCUCCUUGCAAAUUUCAUUUUUUUUAAUACAAUGAUUUCUAAUGAUUUUCAUAUUAUUGUCCUUGUUCCUCUUUGAAAGGUAUUCUUCACAUAGGAAAGGCUCUUUUCUAGCAGGUUAUGUGCCUUUUUUGAUUAUUGUUAACACCUAGAAAUGAUUUUUAUUUUGUUAUUAGAAAGUUUCAGCAUAACAGAUAUUAAAUUCUUUAUGAUAUGUGUUGGUUUUCCUUACUAUGUUCUAUCUAAAGAAAGAUUUGUGCUGUUUUAUUAAGGCUGCUAAUUACAUUCGUGCAACUUUAUUUGUAUUCUUUGAAUCUAUUAUGUUUGAAAUGGAAAUGUUGUGCCUUCCCCUUUUUGCACAAAAAAGAAUUAUGUUAAUUUGACUGUUAUAGUUGACCUAAUAAAUACUGGGUUUUGUAUCUGACAGAGUUCAUGUCUGGAGGAAAUCUCUAUGAUUUCUUGCAUAAGCAACAUAACACCCCGGAACUCUCUCAAUUGCUGAAGUUUGCACUUGAUGUCAGCAGAGGAAUGGACUAUUUGCAUCAAAAAAACAUUAUCCAUAGGGAUUUAAAGACUGCUAACCUGCUGAUGGAUAAGGAUCAUGUACGUGGCUGUGCUUGUUUGAGCAUUUGAUGUUAUUAUAGACAAUUAUAUUAUCUCUGCAUUAACUGCUCAUUUUUGGGUAAAACGUAUGGAUAGUCUCUGUGCUUUCCUAAUAUUGUCUUCCCUUAGCUUUUUCACUUGAACACCUUAAGUCUCUGAAAAGAGUGUUGAACUUUGAGAAUCGAUAAAUGGCUUUAUUUAUACUGUAGGUUGUUAAAGUAGCAGACUUUGGUGUGGCUCGGUUUCAAAAUCAGGGAGGAGUCAUGACAGCAGAAACUGGAACAUAUAGAUGGAUGGCUCCUGAGGUAUUCCUAUCCUGCUGACAACAAUCUUGAUUCUGGCUUUGUUUUUUCUUUAAAUGAACUGUACUGAGAACUCAGAAUUCACUCGUCGAUGCUAGUUGCUUUGUAUGCUGAGUAGAGUUUUCAACAUACUAUGAAAUAUAUAAUAUGUAUGCAGUUUCUUGUAAGAGAUUGUAUUGUGGUGUUCCGUCUCUACUCCUUUUCGCAUAACAUAAUAUAACCUUUAGCUCUGCUGUCAUACUACCAAAUUUUUUGAGACACUUGUGUCAACAUUCUUACUGCUUGUCACAAUUUAUGUUGAUUUUUCGUCGACUUGCUCUUGUAAUUGUCUUUAGGUGAUAAAUCACCUACCUUAUGACCAUAAGGCAGAUGUGUUCAGUUUUGCUAUUGUACUUUGGGAGCUUGUAACAUCAAAGGUAUUCUCUCGUCCUUCCCAGCUCUUAUAUGUUAUAUCAGUACAAUAUUCCAUGUCUCAUAAGAAAAUUAGCAUGAGCUAUAAUUGUCUUUCAUGGUGAUUAUGUGCAGAUUCCAUAUGAUACCAUGACACCCCUACAAGCCGCCCUUGGAGUGAGACAGGUGUGUUGCACUAUGUUAAUCGACCUUCCCUACCUUUAUAUUGUCUAGUAAACUGUGGUGCAGUGCAGUUCUGUGCAAAGAAAACGUCAAAACCCAGAAAGCUGACGCGGUUUGCACUUAAACCCUCCUUUGCAGAUAGUUUCUUCAAUUUAUAAAAUGUAAGCAUUUUACCCCUUUCUAUUGAGGGGCAAACCGAGGGCGCUAUCUGUAGGUCCUUUUUCGUUCUUUUUUUUUUUUUAUAAAAAAACUUAUUGAGGGGAUUCAGUGCAAAUCAUGAUAUAUCUAUGGGAUGUUUCUGAAUUUUAGCUAAAGGCAAUGUUGAAUAUUUCCAAUUAACUAGACAUAUUUGCCGUUACAGUGUGUUUUUGAACACUCUUUUGUGAAUCAUGCACUUAACUACAAAGUAUUUUGGAAAAUGUCAAAAAGAAAAAAAGCUUGUUUUGAGUUGUCUAGAUCAUUAACCAAAAAGAAAAUAAAUAAAUAAAUAAAAGAAAACAAAAGAAUGUCUAGUUCUCAUUAUUAUGUCUUAUUUAUAUUUAAUCUCUUGAAUACUAGGGAUUGCGCCCCAAACUUCCUGAGAAUGCGCAUCCAAGAUUAGUAGAUUUAAUGCAGAGAUGUUGGGAGACCCGACCGGCUACGCGGCCCUCCUUUUCAGAGAUCACUGUUGAACUAGAAGAGCUUCUUAACCAAGUUCAGGUAAAACUGUAAAGCUACUUGGCUGAAGAACUCAUAUGAACUUCACAACAUUGAUCUAUUUUGCCGGUCUUGCAUCUUUGGACCAAGAUCGCAAAAAUUGGAAAGAUUGUCGGUUUAUUACAAAAUAGAGAAAACCCGAAAUUGCUUCUUUAACUAACAGGAGUUAGAUGGUGCCAAUCAUGUGAUCCGGCUUUGUAACCUUUAUUAUAAUCACUAUUACAGGGUUCUGGUGAAUCGAGCUGACCGCCCAACUAUGACUAAAAUGGAAAUCAGGAUACAAGCUUUUUGGACAAGUUGUAGGUAGCUAAUUCUCUGUUAUUCGGACCCUAGUUUAUGCUCGAUGUGCCGAAAUAACAAUCUCUCUCUCUCUCUCUCUCUCAUCGCUUUUUUACCCCGAUGUUUUGCCCUUUAGUUCUGCAGUUUUUCUUUUCUUUUUUUUUUCGUUUCCUCUCCUUCACAUAGUAGAAAAUCCAAGAUAAAAAUUGAGCCUGGGGGGUAGUGUGGGGGGUUUAAUUGCUCACUGUGUCAUUAGAUUUUGCUGGUGGCUACUGUGAAUAUUCUUUCCCCUUCUCUCUGACCAGGCUUUCCUUUUUUCUUUUUUGUUACUCCUUUUUUUUGUUGGUUCUUCUUUCUCCUCACAAGAAUUCAGUGUCUCUCAGCAGCAAAACCACAAUUAUUGUAUCUCAAAAUGUAUACUGUAUAUCGACUGAUUUGCUAAUUGAUUCACCUUGAAUGCCUUUUGCUACUCUUUCGCAAGUUCAGAUUGUGGUAGGUUGGUUAUUAAAAAUUUAGAAUUCUCUCUUCAAAUUAAUUCACCAACUAUUAUUCUUCGUUCGAAUUUGCCUUGUUUAGAGUAAGUACCCUUCAUAAUUUAUUUUUUGGGUUUCGUCGUGUAAAUAGAUAUAAGUAGUUACGAGCAUAGUUCAUUGUGUCUUCUGCAAGUAUUUUGGAUGUUUUAUUUGGUUUUUUAUUUUUUUUAAGGAAGGAAAAUCAGAAGUUGAUGUUGUGAAUCUGUUAUAUAGCGACUUUGUCAGGGAGUAAUGCUGUGCUGGCAAAUAAUACAACACUUUAUAAAUACUUUAUAAGUGGUACUGAAGUAUAAAUUAUGAGAAAUUCUGUCAUUUGUUUUAGAUGAGUAAAUCGAAAAAUUGAAUUUCACUUGAGUUUGAUUUUUCUGCUGUCAAAUUAACUUGUCUCGUAUAGCAUGUCUAUUUUUAUUUGUUUUUUUUGCUGUGAAGUACUGCUUACGCUAAGCCUAUAUUUUGGAUGUGGAAGAUUGAACCCGCUAUUAUAUAUUUGCAGCAUUUGAUCCCUUGCGUGCUUGGGUGUUAGCCCUAGAUUGUUUAGGGAUGGAAAAUAUACUUUUUAUACACCCUAAUUGGAAUGUGCCAGUUAUAUUCCUAACAUAAGAAUGAGUGAGAGUCAAUUACUAAUCACAUUCUAUUCAUUGAAUAAGUAAGAUGUAAAAUAUACAUACUUAUUGGGUUGUAUAGGUAUCAUUGUUUGGAAGGAAUAGUUUUGGAUUAUGGACUUUACGAGCAAUACUUCAAAAAACAUUAAUUUUUAAACUUCAAAAUUUACAAUGAAAUGAGAGAAUAUUUCUAAAAUCGAAUCUGCGUCUGAAAUCUGAAUCCCAGAAAAAUUUACUCACAACUUAAGAAUAAUUUCACAAAAAUUUCCACACGUUUACACCUGUAUUUUCCGAUAAGAUAAAAGGUCAUGUUCCUAUUCUCAAAAAAUAAGGUCAUGUUCCAUAGUUACUAAAACCCCUUAAACCCCAACCUCGCUCGAAUACCCCGCAUCUCCACUCCAACCCGAGCCUAACCCUAACCCUAGAGUCUCCUUCUCCCUCGCCAAGGGACGAAGGAGGCCACCACCACUCCUCCUCAAACCCUAACCACCCCGGGGUCUCCUCCCAUGGCGGAAGAAGCUGAAACCAGUUGCGAGGACGAGGGAGCCCACUCUCUCUCCCCAUCGACCUCCCAUCAUACCUCGCGCGAAGCGCCCCCCCAUCUCCGCCUCCUCCUCUCCUCCACUCCCCGCGACGAAGAAGGCGAGGGACCUCCCCGACAUCUCCCUCUGCCACUGCUGCGGCCUCCGCUUCCCCUCCGACUCCAUCUCCUCCUCCACCACCUCCGGCGCCGGCGGCGGCAUCGGCAUCGGCGGCGGCGGAGGAGGAGGCCUCCGGAGGAAGAGGCGCCUCCGCAUCCUCCGGUCGCAGUGGCGGAUCGUCCUCUUGUGCAGCUACUGCCUCGUCCGCGUCCGAUCCGCCGCGAUCUGCUCCUACUGCUUCGCCGCCGACGCCGCGGGCUCCGCGUCCCUCCGUUGCCUCCGCUGCUCCCGCCGUGUCCACGUCGCGUGCCUCCCCAGGGAGCACCGCUCCCUCGCGUCGUGGCCCCCCGACCCGGCCUCCUUCGUCUGCGCCGAUUGCCGCCCGAUCCCCAAGCUCUUGUUCACAAACAACAGAAGCAGCAGCAGCAGUAGCAGCACCAGCAACAACAACCAUAGUAGCCUCUCUGUUUCACUAGAUGAUUUAGUGAUAGAAGCGAGAUCUGAUGCUAAGAAGAAGGCGGAAUUGGCCUCCUUUGCGAUGAAUAAUGCCUUCAAUAAGGCUGCGAUGGCGAAGCACGCAGCCGAUCGGGCAAAGGCGGCGCUGCGCGUGGUCCUCGGGAAUUCGCCCAAUGAGCUGAAGGCGAACGGUGAUUCGGCGAUCCCCGAUGAGGAGCUGGCUCUCCAGCUGCAUCUGGCCAUGAAUGGAUCGGAGAGGAUUUCGAGGAAUUCGGUUACUGACAAGAGAAAGCGACGGAAAAAUGGUGAAUUAAGUAGUAAUUCAAGGUUCGGGAAAGGUGAGAUGUGUGAAGAAAAUAAGUUUCCCUUUGAUGGAACUGAGGGGAGGGAGCUCAAAAGCAAUUUGGGUAUGAAUUCUAGUUCUAUCGGAACAAAGAAGAAGAAAAAGGAGAUAAUCAGGUAUACUAAGAGAAGGCCUUUGGAAAUGGGGCAGGGAUAUUGUCCUGCUUCUCGCAAGGAAGAGCUUGUUGAUCCAAACUGCAUUGUUCUCGCAUUGGAAUGUGAGAGAAAUGGCGGAGCGCAGGCCUCAGAAUCGGAACAAAUUGACAAUGCUCCUGAUCGCCGGUAUUUGAAGAAAUACAGCAAGAAGAAGUCAACUGUUAAAGAAGUCUCUCCUGAUGACGAUGGUCCGGUUGCUGUUUCGAAUAAUGGAAGCGGAUAAAUCGUUCUGAGUCAUCUAUAACCUCCACCUAAUGUUACUCUGCAACAGCUCCCCUGUCUUUGUCCUCAGUUGCAAGUGGAUAACUACACAGUUCGGUUCAUGAAAAGAAAAAGGUAGAGAAGGUAAUAAUUUAUACUGAUAUUUUAUAUAAUGUUGAUUUUUUUUUGUUAUUCUUAGUGGAUGCUAUAUGAAACUUGCUGAAAUGGAGCGAAACAGGGUUUUGUUUGGACGCUAAAUUCAAUAUGUAUACUUUUAGGCCAUUUUUGAACUAUAUUUAGAGGUUCUCUUAGCAAUAUUUUGAUGGCACUUUGAUUGUAGUGCCUUGUUACUAUAGGUUUAGCAUCCAUGUAUAACUAAUGUCCAUGGUACUGUUGCAGAAUUGAUCAAGCACUGCAACUAUCUGCUCAUCUAACAACCAAUAUCUAUCGAGCUAUUAGAACUUUCUAAAAUUGAACCUGAUUGAAUCACUAAUAAAUCUGAACCGAAUCAACCAAAAAUGAUAAGGUUGAUUUUGAUGUGGCUACACUUCUUUCUGAUGUCUGCUGCUUGAUUUUUGAUAUUUCCUCAUGAGCAUCUCACUGUUAAAGAAUCUAUGAGAUUCUUCUCUCCCUUCUUGUUUAUCUUCUCUAGUUGCUCUGGUAUGUUUUUUUUUUUAAAUUCCUUUGUUUGAUUUCAUUCUUACUGAUGCGCUUACUUUUUCCGCAAACAGAUGUUGUGUGAGACGCUCUUUCUUAAUAACAGUACUGUUCUUAACUUAUGCCCCUUAAAUAUUGUGAAUUUGGCUUUACUAUGCUGUGUCUAGUCCCUUGGGAGUAACUUCUUAAUCGUUAUUGAAUAUCUUGGCUUUUGUUCAAGGCCUUUCUGAUAGGUUAUUCUUUUGCUUUUCUUCUUUGACAGGAUAUAUCAAAACAACCUAAUUACUGAUGAGAACAUUAAUUCCAGAUCUGGAUCAAGUGGUAUUAUCAGUUUGCGUCUUCUCUAAAUUAUACCUGACAAGCUUGGAGGCUUUCGAAUAAUAUGCGGAGACUUUUCAUAUAGAAUUCUAUCUUGGAAUAUAUUUGCCUUGUAAAUUUGAGUUAUCUGAUACAUCCACAAUUGUGGUCUGUUACAUACUUUUACUCAUUCUCAGUAAUGAAAAAGUUCAAGAUAUUCAAAACCUGUUAUAAUUCACACUGGCACUCUGGUUGUUUAUGUUCUAUUCUUACAGGACAUAUAGGUAGUAUAUUUUUGUUAUGAAAUGGAAUUUUGUUCUGCCUAAUUGAUGAGAAACUUGUAAACUCUGUUAAAGAAAAUAUUUUCCUGUAUUCUGGGCUAAUUAACUGUUUACAUAUAGUAUUGGGGUCAAUUUUUUGUAUUAAAAGGUCUUUUGAUAUCACUCCUUUAGCAUUAGUAGUGGUUUUCUUAUAUGCCUUUUAAUUGGAGCUUAGCAGCUGGAAGAGGCAGUGGGCAAUAAAACUAUAGAUCUGUUGAAGAUGGUGGUACAAUUGCUCUUCUGUUCUUGAUCUAUCAUUGGUUUGCUGGUUUUCCCAAAGAAAAAUUCUUCUUCGGAAAUAUCUAGCAAGAACUGUUGUCAGCCCUAAAUGGUCAUUUGGAUGAGUUGAGACUUGAGAGCCCUCAAAAGAUGCUUCUAGCUUCAAAAAGCUUGAAAAGUUCUAGUCAUUAACACUUCCUGAUAAGGACAAAAUAUGUGGAUAUUUUACACACACAAGUUCAGUGAAGAUCUAGGUACUAAUAUAAGCAGGGAAUAAUGCAUUCAUCUAAUGUUAUUUGAAUGUUACUCCUAGAAGCAGUGAGAGUUAUCGACAAUCCUCAACAUUACUACUCCCAAUUUCUUGUUUCUUUUUUUCCUUUCUUCUCUGCAGGGUUUUGGUUGGAAGACACCAGUCCAUCAUAAGAAGGGUGAAAGAUUCUUUGAACUUUUCUUGCCAUCAUCAGUGAGUUAAAAAUCCUUCCUGCAAAAGUCUUCAGAUACUAACGUAUCCUUGCAUUGUACUUGCAUUAUGUUUUUCUUCACGAUCGCAUGACAUGUUCCUAUCAAAGUGAAAAAUUGUAGACAGACUCCCUCAUCUAUAAGCCACUUUUAAACAGACUUCCCAACCGUAUCCUCUUUCUUCUUCUUCUUCUUCUUCGUCUUCUUCUUCUUCUUCUUUUGUUGACCCUCUAACUUUUGCUUUGUUUUACGUUAAUGUUCAUUUGAUAAAUUACGGAUUUCGUUAAAUUUAUCAGCUUUUAUUUUACUUUAAUAGCGAUGACCUUUUUCAGCUAAUGGACUGGCAAUUCCAUGAACAAUUACUAGCUCGGAGCUAGCGGAGAUGUUAAUUUAAACGGAGUUCCAAUCCACUGAAAAAUUUAUCAGCAUUUAUUUUACUUUAAUAGCGAUGACCUUUUUCAGCUAAUGGAAUGGCAAUUCCAUGAGCAAUUACUAGCUCGGAGCUAGCGCAGAUGUUAAUUUAAACAGAGUUCCAAUCCACUGAAAAUAGUAACUUCAAUCAAAACACCCAAACGAGUGGGUUUCAAUAUGAAAAUCAAAGUCACACGGUCUAUUUCGAAGUUGCCCAUGUGAUGGAUAAUGACAUGUAUAACAUUGAACAUGUUACUGAAAUACUCGAAACAGAACAGCUAAUAGACUUCAUAAGAACUCAUAUAGUAGCAGAAAAUAUCAAGCCUAAGACACUUUUGAUCUACUACUAGGAACUUUUAUUCGUAUUCUUUCAUUCUCAUAAAACAUUAUCAUUACUAAAGUAAAGCUAGAUUGCCUUUCUGAGUAUGCUAAUCUUUUGCUGAAGUAGAACCUCUCUCUUAGCUCCAUUGCUUCUUUUUCUUUUUUUCUUAGGCCUGUUAAUUAUAGGGCGGUGGUGCCACUCUACCAUGGUGUGGUGGGGGAGAAUGCUCAGGAAUGGUGUGGUACGGAGGUGGUGGCGCUGUGCGGUGAGUGAGAAGGUGGGUAUGUGGGUGGCACUACAUAAAAUGGCGCUGGUGCUGGUGAACGAGGAGUACUACGAUGUGGCGGCAGUCGUGGUGGUGGCAGUGGCGGUGUCUUUUUGCGGUGAGGUGGAGAUUUUGGGGCUGGAUAUGGUGAUGGUGAGUGCACCGGGGGGGCUGGGUAUGGAGAGGGAGAGGGAGAGGGCGAUGGAGAGUAAUGAGGCGGGUGGGNGGUGCUGGUGAACGAGGAGUACUACGAUGUGGCGGCAGUCGUGGUGGUGGCAGUGGCGGUGUCUUUUUGCGGUGAGGUGGAGAUUUUGGGGCUGGAUAUGGUGAUGGUGAGUGCACCGGGGGGGCUGGGUAUGGAGAGGGAGAGGGAGAGGGCGAUGGAGAGUAAUGAGGCGGGUGGUAUCACAGGGGUGGCCGAAGGGCUGGCGAUGGGCUGCCGUGCUGUUCGCGGAGAGGUGUGAUAGGAAGUGCUGUAGGAGGAUGAGAGCAUUGCCGUGAGAGCCAUGCAGAAGGCUAUAGCCCUCAUGUUGAUAUGAAAAACCAUCUCAGCACUCACUUCACUACCUGCACACAUUUGUGUUUAACGCACCGCCAUUUGAUUAAUACCUCUAUAUAUAGGCGAGAUGAGUUGCGCGUCUCUCUCUCUUUCUCGUUCCUCCUCUCUCUAGUUAGAAGAACUGAAAGUGGUGGAGAAGAAAAACUUUGGAGCAUAGCAUGGAGUAUGGGCUGGAUUGCCCGGAAUCCACGGCAUGAUAUAUUGGUCCCACAUGUUGACAUAUGUAAGUAUUCUUUACCAUGAUUAAUCAAUGGGCUUUUUCUUAAACUAGCAUUGGCAAGAACAUUUAUUACUCGAUUGAACCUUAAAAAGAAUGUUUAGCGGACUAACCAGAUUCUUAUUGUGCCCUUACGUGUGCCCUUACGUGUACGCAGGUGGAAAGGAACUGGGAACAAGGUGAGCAAUCCACUCUGUUUGCACUCUUUUCUCUCUUGGAAAAGAAAAGAAAAAGAAAAAGAGUCUUAGAUGACCUUAGGGAUGUGUACUCUGUUUGAAUGGUAGAUAUCACUAAUAGGUUAAUUAUUCCUUUUCAUAUGCUGAUAGUUAAAUCACUGUUGCUACCAGUCAAUGCAGCAGAAGCCACAAGUACAGUACAAGUGGAAUUAGUACCAUAAUUUUCCAUGACAUUUUGUACAAUCCUGUGCUAGUCAUGUUAAACUCGCUUGGGUGGCUUAGAGAAGUGCUUUUAGAAGAAUUAUUAUUAUAUCUUCUUCUUCUUUUUCCGCAAGUUUCUUUUCUAGUUUAGAACUUCUGCUUUGGAGUUUUGAAAUCACAAUUUUCUUCUUUUUUACCACAACACAAAAUUUUAUAUUCUUCUCAUUGUUUAGAAAUGCUCUAUUGCAGAUAACUACAGAUAAAAGCAGAAGCAGAAGUCCAUGGAAAAGAGUGCGACCACGCGUGGAAAUUUGUUGACCGGGCCCAGAAGCUAUUGACUUCAUUAUGAUGCAGAGCGAAGUUGCGAUCGCUUUCAUGGCGGGACAUGCCGUAUCUUCUCCACUUCUUCGUGUAUUUGUACCUACUUAUAUAUCACUUUAUCCCUGGUGUUUAUUUUUGUAGUACGACAUAUUUGAUAGUUCUUUACCUAAUCCCAAGGUAAUGUUGUAAUUUACUCAAAAUGCAGUGUACAUGAAACUUUAAAAAAUUAGAAUACGUUUUGAGUUUGAAGUACAUAGGUUAAAUUGCAACAUUCGGUUACAACAGUGACUACCUGUGCAUUUAGAGACUCUUUUUAUUGGUCUUUGCAUGAUCUGCAUAGACAUGGCCCAUGUUCUUUGGAAUCUAACAACAAUUAUUUAGUAGCUCUUGAGAGAGGUUAAUUACCAUCUUAUUUUGCUAAUUGAUUACUAUUUUUAGAACUUUGUUGGAAUCUUUAAGAGACAUUGAGGGAACGGAAUAGGCAUUUUAGAGAUCAGUGAUUUGUUCAUCGCAUUUGUAUUUGAGCUGAACAAGCAGGAUAUUUAAAAAGAAAAAUAGAAAAAAAAAAUUCUCUUAAACACGGCAAUGCAAAUUCCCUCGCUGCCGACUUCUUUACACUGCCGAGUUCUCAGCACGUUGUUUAAUGUUCCCGCAUAUAUUACUAUAACAAUAGUCGGCAAUUCACGGUGUUUCUUCACCGUGUUUAUCGCAUAUUUCAAAUUUGGCCCACUGAAGAUGCGAAGUUGGGACCGUAGAUCGUUGCGUGACAAAUCAUGAACCGUUCAUCAUUGUACCGUCGGUGGAUUUCAAAUGAGGAAAAAAAUGUACGGACAGCUCCUGUUUUAUUCCGAAAUUGAGAAUUGCUCCCUUCACCUUCACCUACUGUUAAAAAAUCUGAACUUUUUGUUCAAAAUGACGCUUUUACCUACGCAUGAACUAAAACUGAGAGAGCAGAUUCAUUUCGUAGGCAGGGGUAAAACAGUCAUUUUAAAAGAAAAUUUUGAUAUUUAUGGAGUAAAGUGCAGAGACUGAAAAUUGAGGGACUGAACUGUUGAUACAAUUUGUAAUAUUGGAAAAGUACAGGGACUAUCCAUUCAUUUUACUCUCUUCUUUGUUUCACCUUUUUUUCGCCAUUAAACUUCUCUCUCUCUCUCUCUCUCUCUCUCUUCGCUCGCCUCUUCCUCUCUCCUCCACACUCCUCCGAAUGCUAAAAACGCCAUUAGCGAUCACCUUCUCCUCGAUCACACUUCAAAGUGAGCAUUACGAAUCUCUCGAACCCUCAGUAGUUCCUCUUUCCCCUUUUUUCCCCCCUUUCCCCCCUUUUUUCCUCCAUUAUUUCUCUUUUUCUUUGGAUUUUUAAUCUAAUAUGUCCAAUUUCUGAGCUGUUUUCUCUCGCGAUCAAAAGGCCUUCUCUUUUAAGUUCUUCGGUGAACCUAGAUUGAUUAGGGUUUAGAUUUUUGGCCCCAAUUAGUAGGGCAAAGGAAAGUAUAAAAUAGCUUCUUUUUUUUUUUAAUAUUUUUCAAAAAAAAAGUUAGAGAUUGGUAAUAGCUAGCUUAAUGAACUUAAUUGAUGUAAAUAUAAGUAUAUGAUGCUUAAUUAUUUUUUAAACAAAGAUAUAUAUUUAAGGGUAUAUUGCACUACUAGUCCCUGAACUUGUAGUAAAGUUUUACUUUGAUUCUCAAACUUUUGAGUUGGACAUUCGACCCCUGGAACUUUUGCAAGUGCUUCAUUUUAGUCCUUGCCGUCGCCCAUUGAUAGAGGAAAAAAAAAGUUAUAACCCACAAUCCUAGUAUGAGAUGGAAUUGAGAUUUUUCGCUUGAGGACUAAAGAGAAGCAAUUUUAGGAGUUUGGAGUAUUGAAUGUUGAGUCAAACUUAGAAGUUCCAAGAUCAAAAGUUCAAUUUAAAAAGAGUUUGAAGACCAGUUAAUGUACCGAACAAUUUGCUAUGUACUUCAGAAAACAACACAAUUAUGGUGUUAAUGACCAAAUCCAAGAUUCUAAAUCGUUCAAAGGCGCGAUCUGAUCAUCAAUUUCGACAUGAUCGAUACAUGACGAUAUCUUUGGUUUCAGAUGUAAGCUUAUGCUUGUGGGACGUUCUGCUGGGGUCUUGUUUAAUAUCGUCUGCUGCAGAUUACUCAUAUCAUGGCUCAGUUACUAAAGCUAGAGGGUCAAAAGGCGCAACGUACUUAUUAUGCCGAGAACUACGAUCAUUUCUCUAAUCUGUCAGAGCCCAUUGUUCAUCACAUUUUUGGCUUUCUUGGCACGAAAGACAUAGCUCGAAUCGGCACCCUCUCGAAAAGAUGCAGAGAGAUGUUCAUCUCUAGCCCGUACUUGAAGUUCGCAUCCAUCUGUUCGUACGACAAUCCGUUGUGCAAGCAAUUCAGCGAUUAUGUGGACAGAGUUCUAAGCCUGAGGAAUUCGUCAGAGAUAAGAAGUUUGUCCCUUCGCUGGGUUUGCGAUAACAAUGAGUGCGACGUGGACGUACAUCUUGUCGAUAAGUGGAUUGAUAUUGCCGUAAGACGUGGAGUUCAAGAGAUCGAGAUUGAGGUCGGGGUAAGGGAGGAUGCAAUGUUCAACUUUCCGAAUUUCAGGGAUGCAGUGUUCAAGUUGCCGAAGUGUAUCUUCAUUUCCAGAAGCUUGAGAGUGCUUAAGUUAGAUAUGCGGUAUAAUCGUCUCCAGGAACCUACUGGAGCUCUUCCUUCUCUUGAGGAUCUGUCUCUAUGUUCGCUACAAGUUUCCGAAAGUUGCCUUGAAAAAUGGGUUUCUAGUGCACGCCCAUCGCUUAAAAGGUUGACGAUUUCAAACGUGCAGGGUGUGUUUGAAAAUCUGAAUAUCGUUAGCAAGUCUCUUGAAGAGUUGGAUAUAUCCGUACUCUCAUGUAAACUCUUGAAGAAUGUCGACAUCUCAACGGAGAGGCUGGGAAAGUUGUGCUUAGACUUAAAAACCUUAUUCACUAGGCAUCUUCACAGCAUGAAAAUCGCCGCCCCUAAUCUCCAAGAGUUGACGUGGAUAGCGGGGAUGGCGAGUAACGUUGAACUGAGCGAGUUUAAACUUCUAAAGAAUGCUACUCUCUCCGUUGGUAUAUGUAAUGACUACGUAGAAGGCUUUACUAUCGGCAACCGCUUAGCAAAGCUUUUUCAGAGUGUACGGUUUGUUAGCGCACUGCAAAUAAACAGUGAAGUUCUCGAGGUAAACACGCUCUUUUUUCAUGUGUCAACUUAGCUGCUAACUCCAUCCCUUGAACAUUUUCAAGUCCCUGAAUUUUCUUAUUGUUUCUGUUUACUUGAGGCGGGCUAAGAAAGGUUGUUUUACAGUAAAAGUCGACGGAUGCAGCUUUUUCUCUCUCUUUACCUUGUUUGACGAGCAAGGAAUAAAUUGCAAUACACUAGAAUCUUAGAGAGUGAAGUGUUUUAAGUGAUACUUCGAGGACGAAGUCACUGACUCUCCAUAGACCUUUAUGAAUAUUUUCAUACAUAUCUACCGACAUUAACUUGAAUUUUAACUGAUACCAUCCUGCAGACACUUUUCCUGCGUCAUCGCAUAUCCGUUGCGUUGGAUUCUCUUCGGCAUUUAACCAUUACAGUUGAAUGUUUGACGCGUUACCAUUUCUCAGCUUUUGCUUCCCUUCUCGCGGGCUUGCGUAAUCUACAAACUUUAUCCCUUAAAUGUCAUCGUGAGAAUCGAUAUCCACCGGACCAUUCAUUGGUGAGUGUCGACUCAAAACCAACGACACAAAAACACAGUCCUUUAUCUUUCUCCGUGUCGCUCGCUUGCGUGUUGCUUUAACUUCACUCCUUUCUUGCUUUUUCAGUGGUACAGGUGGAAGGCCGUCAAGUUUAAUGAGCAGCACAGUAAUGGAUUUCGCAAUCUGCUUGGUGAUCAGCUAAGUAUGAUAGAAAUGGAGUUGAAAGGAAAAGGUCAUGAAGUUGUGUUUUUUGUCGGAAACAUGAUUAAGGCUGCGAAAGGCUUGCGGAAGAUCACUAUCGUUUACUCGAGAGAAUAUUAUUCCGAGAUGCUGUCGAAGAUGAGGAACGAAAUUUCCGCGACCGCGCUUCUACCUCUCGAAGUGAAUUUAGUUGAGAAAGAAUUUGGUGGAUACGAAGAUCCUGAAUUAUAAGAUUACACUUUUUUAAAAAAGUUCUGUGACAUGUAUUUGCUAAUUCCGCACAUUUGUUACUUCGAUAUUUUGAAAAGUUCGAAGAUCGACGAUGUAGGUUUUGUUUACGAAGUUCUUACUCAGAUGUUUUCCAUUUCCUAUCUCGAAGCAAUGCGAACGGUGGAUAUGAUGGUGAUCUUACAGUGGGGACUAUUUCGGAUAAAUGUUUAUUGUUCUUAAUCGUCCAUUAUGUAAAAUGGACGCGCAAAUCUCAAAGCAAUAUGAAUGGUGAAUCCAAUGGCGUAUAGUAUUCAUUUUUUUAUUAUUGAUCUUCAUCUCCAACACACUUUUUCUUCAUAAACUUAUUAUUAUUAAUGUUUUUUACUCAGUGAUUUUGGAUUAAAAAAAUUACAUCUAAUUUUUAACAAACGCACUAUUCUCUACUUGAAGGAGAGUGCUACAUACUACAAUAAUAAUAAUAAUAAUAAUAAUAAUAAUAAUAAUAUGUAUUAAGGGUGGAUUAUUAUUUGUUAAUUAGUGUCAAGCGUUAGUCUCUUGUACACGUGUCUCGCAUUGAUAGGUCCACUUGGCCCCCAAUUGGUCCGUGAAUCAUCAUCUCUCCGUUGCGAAAUAGAAAACGAAAUACGAUUUACUACUUGAUGACGUGGAUAUAUAUAUAUAUAUAUAUAUAUAUAUAUAUAUAUAUAUAUAUAUAUAUAUAGGGUCCGGCUACUAUACUAUUAUGAGUAUGAUCGCCCUCGUACUCAUAAGGUGUUUUCGAUGAUAGAGCUUCCGAAUCAACGAUCCACACCGUUAAACGUUAUUUACAGUAUUUAAAAUUUCUAGAAAUCAAAUUUUAUAGUUUUUCGACAUCAUUUAUCUUACGAUCAAGAGGUCAAAAAUUUGACAAUUUUUAACUGCCGGUAUGAGAUACUUGCUAGUUUAACGGUGUAAAAAAAUCAGAAUUUGUUGAAUUUUUGAUAAAAAAUUCUAUUCACUACAUAGAUAAAGAUCAAUAAUUCUUGAUCUUGAAUUGAAAGAUCCGAUCAUCCUUUUUUAGGACGUCGUUCGAUUUUGACCGUUCAUUUUAUGUCCACUUGAUGGACUUUAUUAUGAUUUCGAAAAUUUACAAAAUUUAUUUUCUAGAAGUUUCAAAUAUUCUAGAUCAUAUUUAACAGAGUAGAUCUUCGAUUCGGAAGCUCCAUCAUCGAAAACAACUUAUGAGUACGAGGGCUCCAAUACUCAUAAUAGUAUAGUAGCCAUGACCUAUAUAUAUAUAUAUAUAUAUAUAUAUAUAUAUAUAUAUAUAAAAUCUAUAUAUAAAAUCUUAAAUAAUGGAUCAUGGUUUACAUUCACCAUUGAAAAUGACCGGAUUCAACUUAUUAGGAGUUUUGUUUAUCUGACCAAGCUCAAUUAAUUUGAAUGCAACACGUGUACUUUAAAACUUUUCAAAGCAAACAAAAAGAUUUAUUUUUACGUUAUCUUGGAUGAUCAGGAGUUGAGAUCGAUCACUUCAUUAAACUUAAAUUUUUCUAAAUUAUUUAAACUUAUGAGAGCUUGAAUUUUAUUAUUUUUUAAUAUUAUUUAUUAUUUAUUAUUUUAUAAAAUUCAAGUUUUAUAAAGUUCAAAUAGAAUAAAUCGUGUUUAAUAUUGCCGUUCUCGAUUAGAAGUCCCUUCACCAGAUACCUCUUCCAUUUACUUCUAAAAAUAUUUUAGCUUAAAAAAAUAUUAUUAAUUAUAAGUGUUUACAUAUAACCUCUAUUAUCACUGCUAUCAAAUUGUGUUUCCUUAGUUGUCAUAGUAUUAGAGCCCUAAUUCCCUACCCAUUAAAAACAACAAAAUAAAAAAUUAAAAUUAAAAUAAAAAGUAAAAAUAAAGCAUAAAGCUACUUUUUUGUGGACCAUUGUUUACAGAGGCUUGUGCCUUCCACACCUUUAUAUGAUCACUCAUAUCUUCUUUAAUGUAAAUAAUAAUGUAAAUAAAUAAUAAUAAUAAUAAUAAUUCUCACCUUUAUUCUAUUCUAUUCCAACUCUCUAUGUUGGAAACAAACUCAUCACACUCCCCACACUUUUCUCCCCCACUUUAUCCGCCAUUGUUUCCGCAGCAAUAAAUGUACCCAAAAGAUAUUGUAACGCAUUAUUGAUAAGUUAAUAUUAUACAUUUAUGAGUUAGCAAUUAUAUUAUAUUAUAUAUAUAUAUAGAGUUCGGCUGGGGUAUUAUUGAUAGUACUAAGAAUUUGAUCAUAUCGAAUUUUUCACCGUUAGAUUUAAUUAGAUUAUACUAUUCAACCAACCACUCACUCAAUCCAGGAGAGUCUACAAUCAUCCUAAUCAUCCAUUUCUCAAUCCAAGGCUAAAAAAUCAAUAAGUACCAAUAGCUUAGUGCUAUUGAUAGUAUUUUAGUCUAGUUCUAUAUAUAUUAUAUAUAUAUAUAUAUAUAUAUAAUAUAUUAUAUAUAUAUAUAUAUAUAUAUAUGAGGCUGCUGUCUCUCAGGAGCACGGAGGUCUCGCGUGCUCCUGAGCCGUUUCGAUGAUGGAGUUUCGAACGACGAAUCGGCUCCGUUAAACUUGAUCUAGCGUAUUUAAAGUUUGCUAGAAAAUAAUUUUUUGCGAUUUUUGAAUCUCAUUUACACUAGCAAUCGAAAGGAUUCAAAAUCAAUAAUUUUAACGGCUAAAAAAAAAUCCAAUAAAAAGUGGUGAUAUAGCACUAAAAUUUUCGAUCAGAAAUAAUAGACUUGUUGUAGAUAGUAUAGAAGUAUUUUCUAUCAAAAUUUUCACUCUGAUUUAAUACUUCACACACCGUUAAACUUGAAAACGACAGAUAACAACCAUUAAAAAUUAUGGAUUUGAAUCCUUUCGAUCCACUAGGUAAAUGAUAUCGAAAAAUCGCAAAAUUAAUAUUUCUAGAAGUCUUAAAUGCGCUAGAUCAAGUCUAACGAGCCGAUCGUCGAUACGAAAAUUUCAUCAUCGAAAACGGCUCAGAGCACGGAGGUCCGUGUCUUUGAGAGCACAGCAGCCCUGCUCUAUAUAUAAUAUUAUAUAUAUGUCCGCUACAUGCUAUCGGUAGCACGGAGCGCUCCGGCUACCACAGUUAUAUAUAUUAAUAUAUAUAUACGAGAGAGUCCGCUACUAUGCAUCGAAACAAAUUGGUAGACGGAGCGCUCGUGCUACCAAGUUGUUUUCGAUAUGCGGCUUCCAAAUCGACAAUCGGCUCCGUUAACUUGAUCUACACUAUUGAAAGUGUUUAGAAGCUAAAUUUCUCAGUAUUUUCGACAUAAUUUGACUAUGAUCAAAAGAUCUCAAAUUGACAAUUUUAAUGGCCGUGUGGUGUGUUUGUGAGUUUAACGGUGUAAAACAAUCCAAAUGCGAUGAAAAUUUAUAGAAAAUUCUUUUCACUAUUUAAGUAAGAUCAUAUCAGUAUAUCUGAUCUUGAAUUAAAUCUUUUAUCAUCAUUUUUUAUGAGAUUUUUAUUUCAGCGUUCAAUUUUAGACUACUUGUUUGAUAGUAAAUGAUAUCUGAAAAAUUAUGAAAUUAGUUUCUAAAUGCUUUAAUGUGUAGAUCAGUCUAACGAGCCGAAUCGUCGAUUUGGAACUGCAUCAUCGAAACAACUUGGUACGAACGGAGCGCUCCGUGACACAAGUGUGUUUUCGAUAUCAGCUUCCAAAUCGACGAUCGCUCCGUAGACUUGAUCUAUACUAUUAAAAAUAUUUGAAAACUAAAUUCAAUAAUUUUCGACAUCAUUUGGCUAGUGAUCAAAAGGUUCCAAAAUCUACAAUCUUUAAUGGUAAAGUAUAUGAUGGCGUUUUUAAGUUCAACAGUAUAGAAGUAUUCAAAUUAAGAUGAAAAUUUAAUAGAAAAUUCUACUUAACAUCAAUAGCAAGACUAAUACUUUCGAUUUCAAAUUGUGAAUUCUUAUCACUGAGUUAUAAAAUUUUCAUUUUCAGCGCGUUAUUUUUAGACUACUCGUUUAAUUGGUAAAUGACGCCGAAAAAUUAUAAAUUUAGUUAACCGAAUACUUUCAAUAUAUGAUCAAGUCUAACGAGCGCCGAUCGUUGAUUAGAAACCGCACUCAUUGAAAACAACUUGUGACACGGCAGCCGCCACCUCACAAUGCUACCUAUAGUAUACCAGCUAGCUUAUAAUAUAUAUAUAUAUAUAUAUAUAUAUAUAUAUAUAUAUAUAUAUAUAUAUAUGGCAUUUAAAAGAAUAUUAAUUUCAAACGUAGCUUACCCUGAAAACUUUCUAUUUGAUGAACUUCGUACAUGCAUGGAUAUAUAAAAAUAAAAUGGGUGAAUGGACUUACCCUAGAUAGUGCUACGAGUCCCUUCAAUCUAAAAGCUUAUUCUGAAGCUCAAUUUUUGUCGUAAAUACACUCAUCCGAAUUUACGUGUUUUCAAUAUAAGCCACAUAUCUCAGGAGAGUUCAAGGGCUCAGCCCAAAACUCCAUAACUCCGAAAAUAUGAUAUAUUUAAUAGAACUAAUUAAAUCUACAUAUUAAAGCCUAUUAGAUCCAACCCACUAGUACAUAUAUCAAACCUUUCACUCAUUUAAUACUUAUUCGAUAUGGUACUACUGAUAUGUAAACUCCUACUAAUAGAUAAGUCUCGUAUUGAGUUUUCUUCUUUUUUUUUUUUUUUCCGAUACUGCUUAAAAUAGUCAUUUAUUAACUUAAAUAUUGCAGAUAAAAAUGUAUAUUCUUGUUCUUGAUUAAUAUUAUUAUUAUUAACUUUUUUUUUUUGAGUGAUAGAUAGCAUGCAAUUCGCUUCGUUUAUUUCAUUUAGAAAUAAACUUAACUAGAAAUGUGAAUCAACUAGGAUUCGAACUUAGGGACCUUAGGUACCAACCACAAAGCGCCCUUUGCCACUUGCUUUAGGGACGGUCGGUAAAAGCAGAGGAGCCUAACUCGAUAUAUUGAUACGUCACGCGCACAUUAACAAUAUUUUUGGGUACCUUCUCAUGAGGUCCAAUAAGCAUUUAGUUAUGGAGAAAGCUAACAAGUCUCCUCCUAGCUUUCUGUUUCAUCAUUUAAUUAGAGGCAUGAGUUGUACACACUACACACACAGGGAUUGGAGUGGUCAAAAAGAAAGAGCAUAGCCUUGUUGGAUUCCAAGGACUAAAACUACACACAAAAUCUCUCUCUCUCUCUCUCUCUCUCUCUCUCUUCUUUAAUUUCUUUAUUACAAUUUCUUGGUCAUCUCAUGUGCAGGCCCCCAUCACAGAAUACAGAGUCUGAGUCAACCAAAAUUACUCAUCUUUCAAAGAUACUAUAUAUCAUAAAUUGCCAAUAAUAUUUCCAAGAGCAACCGACCAAAUCUUAGUACGAUUAACUAAGAACUUAAUAGUUGGUGUUUAAUAUCUCAAAUUUAAAAUUUAAUUAUUUUGUAUUUACGGCCGAGUUCAUUUCUAACAAAUGAACGAAAUGAAUAAACUACUUUUCUCUCCAAAAAUAUUUUAAGAGCUGAGCUCCUAGGGAGAGUUUGGUUUUCUAGAAAAAAAUUUCUAGAAAAUAGUUUUUCUGGUUGAAAAAGUAUUUUUGGCAAUUUUGAUUUUCAGCAAAGUAGUUAUUCUGGAAUUUUUUUUUUCCAGAUUUUAUGGGAAAAAAAUCUCCUUUUUGUUUUUUUUUUUCUAAUUUGUUUAUUUAAAAAGCAAAAACUAUGAAAAUAAUAUUUUCAUAAUUUUUGAGGAAUCAAACAGUACCCUUUUAAAUGAGAAGUAAGGACAUAUUAAUAGUAAUAUAUUGAAUAAAAUGAUUAAUUUCUUUGGAUAUAUAGUAAACAAAGCAUAUCCAUAUAUCAUAAUUUGUGUGUGUGUGUAUAUAUAUAUAUAUAUAUAUAUAUAUAUAAAAGUUUCAUAAUAGUUUAUAAUGGCAUUUAUUCUUUCUGAUAUAAUGAUAUUAAUUGAAUAUAACCACACGAAAUAAUAAUGCACGAAAUGAAUGGUUGAUAGAGAGCUUAUAAUAAAAUUUUUGUUUGUAUUCAAUUUAUUAUUUUAAGGGAAAAUAUUGAAAGGGAUUUAAUUUCCUUCUUAUUUUUUUGGUCGGCAACGUGUUCGUAAAUUGCGGCCAUGUUUGUCCACUCCCUCUUUUUCAACUUUUUAUUUUAAUUUUAUUUUAUUUUAUUUUAUUUUGUUUUGUUUUUCAACUUGUUCUUGCAUGGUAGUUGUUGCAUAGCUGGUUCCACAUUUAUUAGUACAGUUUAGUUUUUGUUUUCUAAUUCUUCUUUGGCCAACAAUUUUAUUUUUUAAAAAAUAUACACCUCAAAGUGGAUGUAAUUCGUAUAUUCGAUCCCUAAAAUAGGUGAGGUGUAUAACUUAUUAUCUCAAAAAAAAAGAGUAUAUUAUAGUUUAAUUAGCAAUCCUUUUCUUCUUUUUUUUUUGCUGUAAAUAAAAUUAGUUUAAGAAAAAUUUAAUUUAACACUUCAUCUAAAAGAAGAGAAAAAAGAAAAAAAGUAAAUGAGGAUCAGCACCGUAUAAUUUCUUAUUAUGCCCGAGUAAGAUUUUGAGAUUUAGACAAAAAUUUGAUAGACAGAAACAAAUAUUAGAGAUUCGAGAGUGGGACAAAUCAUAUGACUCAUCAAAUUAUAUAUCUUACUAAAAUCUCAUUGAGCAGUUUUUCAAUAACGUCGCGCUCAUCUAAAAAUACUAAUCAAAGUAUAUUUUUUAAUAACACUAUAUCGAUCAUCUAGCACGACUAAAUUAAUUAGAUGUUAACAUCUUUGCAAUUAGGUUGAUCAGAUUAAACUAGAUAGAAUAUAAUACUUGGUGGUUGGUACCCGAGACCUAAGUUCCAAUAUAAUACUUGGUAUGUAGUAUAAUUAAUCCUUCAAUUGUAGACUUUCUCAUCACCUAACUAUCAAAGUUUCCACAUGAAGGUGCUAGAAAAACUAAAAAAAAAAAAAGAAGAAAAGGGCCAUGUAUGUUAAGUGAUUGUUGGGGAUUUGUCAUAUAUAUAUUGUGAUUGGUUGAGAGGGUCAAAAUGAUGAGAAACUUCUCCAUCUAUGGACAUGAGAGUCAAUUAAAAUACACAAAUAACUUGUGUGAACAAAAGAAAUUAAUAGCCAAGUUAAUUUCCAAUUGGAUGUUUCCUUCUCAUUUAUGAGUUCAUAGUUGACAAGUAAGUCCCUUGUUCUACUAGCAAAAUUAUCAAUAAAUUAAUUAAAGUGGAAUCUGUCAUUGACCAAGUCAUCGCAAUACACGUAACCAAUUAAUAUUCAGAUUGAUAAACUCAAUCAAAUAUCACAUAUAGCAGGCACUCCAAUCUGCUAUUACAUUGUAAAUUUAUGGAUUAAUUUCAUACAUGUCCCUAUAAACAUAGUAAAUGGCAAAUAUAUUCCUACGAAGUUCAAAUUUUAUAUGUAGUUUCUGUAAAAGUUCUGAUAUUUUCAAAUAUGUCCCGAUAGUUUACUUUUUUUUUUGAGAGAUUUCCUAGCGCAAGUGGCAAAAGGCUUAGUGGUUUGUACCGGAGCUCCAAAGUUCGAAUUCUAGUUUAUUCAUAUAUUCAGCUAAGCCAUACUACAUAUGAAAGUUGAACUUUGUAGAGAUAUAUUUGCUAUUCAUUAUAUUUGCAGGAACAUGUAUGAAAUUAAUCCAAAAUUUAUAAUACAAAAUUUAAACAAAAUUCCAGUGUUAAAAUAGAGUUUAUAAAAGCUUUUACUUUUAUUUCAAAAUUUGCACAGGUCAUGCAAAAAUAAUAUAUGCCUGUGUGGACCCCACACAACCUACUAUUAUAUUAAUAUUUGUAAAAAAAAAAAAGAAAAGAAAGAAAAAGAAAAACUCAUUUACUUUUGAGGAAAAAGUAAUCAAUUGUGUUGCUGUCCAUUUCAGAACCUGUUCAAUGACAGUUCCUUCUACUAUACCCUGCAGGAUUGUCAAUAAAAAGACAAGGAAUUAUUAAUGUACUACUACUCUUCUUACAGGUCCAUGCAAACACCUAGAACAUAGAUCCAAUGAAAUAAUUAGGGAUAAAUUAUACAAUAUUCUCAAAAUCAAAAAAAAAAAAAAAAACAAACUUGAGGCCACUUUGUGAUAUGACCAGGAGUAGACUCUCCAGAGCUAAUUUGUAAUAUAGCAAGAAACUUUCCAAAUGAAGCCUCUUGUAAAUCCUUUAGAUUUCUUCUUUUUUUUUUCUUUUUUUUUUUUUUGAAUUGACAUUCAAUUUCCUUUCCCUUGAGAAAACUUAGGACAGUUUCUCACACUACAUAAAAAGUGAUUGGAAUUAACAUAACCAAGUAAUUACAGCAUACAAAGUUAGCUUGUUAAAAAACAAGAACAAACAUCUGAUUCAAUUAAUUCCCCAGAGAAAGAAGAAACUGCUUUAUUUUUUUCUUAUGAAUAUAUUCAGAAGUACUGUAGGGUGUGUCAAAUUUAUUAUAAGGUCAUUUGAUCACAUCUCAAACAAAGAUCCACAAGUAAGAAGAAGAGGAGGAGGAAUUAGAGGUGCUUGCUACAAAUAUAUAUGCCAGCAAAAAUUUGAAUCAGAUCACAAUUGACAUUAUAAUUUUUCUUUUUCUCCUAUUCUAUCUCUUUUCACCUGUCAAAAAAAAAAAAAAAAAAAAACGAUAAAAGAACCUCUAUCCAAGUUACCAUGUACAACAAAUUCCCCUGUAUUAAAAUGCAUGAUUUGUGUCUUGGUCCGUGCCGCGCAGGCACUCUUGCAUGAUCUGAAUAUUCUCAGGCAGAUCAGGGCAGCGCUUUUGUCUUGCGGCUCGCGAGCCCGCCGCUCUCCAUGAGAGCAGCCAGCGUUGGUGAGGAGGCCGGCCGCGAGAGCGCGCGCGGCGUCUCACGGGCCCUGGCGUCGCGGUGGCGGUGGCAACCACCUCCCAACAGCACCCCGACCCGCCGCUCCGCCCCGCUCCCUCCCGCUCUUCAUCAUCCGUCCACCACCAACUCCUACCGCACUCCUCCACCCCGCAUAUCUCCCCACCCUGCCCUCCGCGUCACACCCGCCGCCGCUUCCAAAACUUCAACCGCGCCGCCCGCCGCCGCCGCCCGCCCCGCCGCGCGCCCCCCAUAAAACCGCUCGCCGCGGCGCCCACUGCGCAGCGCGUCACCAUCUCCCCCCUCCCCCGCCGCGACCCCGCCCCGAUCCCGGCGAGGCACCCCAUCGCCGCCGCCGCAGCCGCCGCCGCCGCGGGGGCGUCGCCCUCUCCGGCGAGCCGGAUCAGCUCCGGGAUCAGAUCCGGCGCCUCCGCGACCGCCGCGGCCUCCGACUCGCUCCCGCACGCCGCGAUCAGCGACUCCAGAACCCGCGCGGCGUCGACCCGCGGGCCCAUCUCCUUCGUCCUCAGCACGCGGGCGAGCGCCGCGGCGGAGGCGCCCGGGUCGGCGGCGGCGGCGACCGCCCGCUUGUCGGCGCCGUCGGCGGCGAGGACGAGCGCCAGAACCCGCGCCGCCGCCGCCUCCGCGCCCUCGACCCGGAGCAGCGGCGCGACGGCCGCGGCGAGCCCGUCCUUGUCGACCUCCCCCUCGUCCUCGUCGUCCUCCUCGAGGAUCGCCGCGAUCUCCCGCAGCGCCGGGGCCGGGUCCGCCGCGUCGCGCGCCUCGCGGAGGAGCUCCUUGACCGCGGCGGAUGGGGAGGAGGAGGAGGAGGAGGAGGAGAGGGUACUAGUAAUCGCGCUAGGGUUAGGGUUAGGGUUAGGGUUAGGGUUAGGGGCGUUGUCGUUCCAGAGGCGGAUGAGGCGGAGGAGGGUGAGGUUGGGGACGAGGUCGGUGGAGGAGAGGGGCUGCAUGGUGGCGGGGCAGGUGGCGUUGCCGGACUGCAGCCAGCGCUGGAUGGAGGAGCGGUCGUAGGUGACGCCGGUGCAGAGGCUGACGGGCGACCUCAUGACGUCCAGCGAUAUCGGGCAGCGGAAGAAGCUCGGCACCUUCACCUCCAACGCCCUCCUCGUCUUCUUCUUCUGCGCCAGUACGCCCUCCUCCCCCUCCUCCUCCUUCCUCCUCCCCAUCAUCAUCAAUCAAUCAAUCAAUCUAUCUAUCAACACCUUGCUUACUCUUUAAUAAUCUUCUUAAUUAAUUCUACUAAUUCCUCCUUGUUGCUACUCCCCCUGAUUGUUCUGAUUCCUAGCUAAUUAAUAAUGGGUGUGGUGUGGUGUGUUGUGAUGUGUUUUGUGUGUGGGAUUUGGGAUGGUGAUGCUCCCAAGGAGGAAGAAGAAGAAGAAGAGGGAGAAGAGAUGAUGAGAAAAGAGGGAGGGAGGGAGGAGAGAAUGGAGUAGAAAGGGAAAGAUGGGGGAAGGAGUGGGUUUUAAGGUGGUGGAAAUGGAAAUGUAGGAGUAGAUGGAGAAAAAUAAAAAAACCCCCCUUAACUAUAGAUUAUUCUACAAUUGGUCCUUGUACUUUCCUUAGUUUAGGCAAACAAUAUCAGGAGGAGAAGAAAAAAUAUUUGAUAAAAAAGAAUAUUUGAUGCCUACUACCUAACCAAUAAUUUGUAAAAAAAAAUUAAUCAUAUAGCGAAAUAUAAUAAAUUUUAAUACCUAAAAGUAAUAUAGGUCACGUAUAAUUAUAUGACUGUACUGUGUAAAGCAUAAUAAAAUAAUAAAUAAUAAAAUUUAAUAUUUUGGGUCAGAUGUUGUAUAAAAUUAGGUAGAUAUGAACUAAAGAAAAAAUAAUUUUAAGUAGAGGGGUCUCCUUGCAUAUUUCAUCCUUUUCAAAGGAGAGAGAGAGGGAGUCAAAGAAACUGAGGGAGGGUGAUGACGUAGGAUGGGGGGUUGCUUUCAAAUUUUUUGGGUUUUUCUUGUUUACUUUGCCAAUUGCUUUCCCAUCUUUCUUUUUCUUUUGUUUGCUGCGCAUAUUUUUUCACUGGUAUUAAUAAUGGUGUCGAUCCGUUUAUUCAAGUACUCUCUUUUUCUUAUUCUUUUUUUUAUUUUUUUAUUUCUCUUUUUGCCUUGUUUGGUCUACGGUCAAAGGUGCGUGUUCCGGGUUAGCUGAUUUCGUGGGGAUAUAGGUCAAAAUUUAAAACUGGGGUGGGGAUUGGUUACGUGGGAUUAUUCGUGAUAUUAUAUGGUCUCAUUAUUCCACAGUAAUUUUACUGGAGCUGUGGGACCCACGUGUGGUUAGGAAUUACCAGUAGGAAUGCAAACGGGACGAAUCCGAAUGCAAGAAAGAUCGCCAUCUCUCUUUUUCUUUUUUUCUUUUUUUUUUGUGACGGAUCAGGACAUAUAUUUUGAACGGAUUAAUUUUUAUCAUAUUUUCUUAUUAUACACUCAUUUGAAAUGAAUUGAAACGAAAAUAAAUUUAGGACAGAUUUUUAGCAGAUCGACCAUCACUUACGAUUUCAUUAAAAACGAAUCAGUACGGAUGCUCCACUAGCCUGGAUCCAUUUGCAUCCUUUAGUUAGGAGUUUUUUUUGUAUUGAGAGGGUAUUUGAUGCACACGGCAUGUAUACACAGAGGCCUCUGUAUUGCCCAUUAGAAAUUUAAAUCUAAAUUAUUUUUUUUUACUUGUACCACUUUAGGGAUUUUUACGUACUAAUAUGAUGAAUUAUUUUUUUUCAACUACUCCGUCCUUCUUUAUCAUUGAUUGUUUGUAUGGCAUGAAUUGGAAAGAGUUGGAGACAGAAUCGUACCAAAUGUAGUUGGCAAAGGCUUAAUAAUUGAUACUCAAAAUUUUCAAAUUCGAAAUCUAUACUUAUUUCUGAAAAAGAUAAAUAAAGUCGAUAACUUGCUACUUUUCUCUCUUAAGAAAAAAAGGACAAAGUUGGAGACUGAAUCAUAGAAAUUAUACAUUAACCGGGCGAGUACGCUCAAUUCAUUUUACUUUAUUGUACUUAUUAGGUUAAUAUAGUUCAUUCAAUUUCAAUCUCAAACGAAGCAUUAUAAAAUAGUGAAUUCUCAACAAUUUUUGCUAUUUACAUAUAUAUAUAUAUAUAUAUAUAUAUAUAUAUAUAUAUAUAUAUAUAUAUAUAUAUAUAUAUAUAUAUAUAAGCUAUUUAGAGGCCGUAGAUUACAUCUGAAUUCAGAUUUAAUUAUCUCUGUAAUUGAGUUUUGUGAUUUGCUCUGAUAUAUUUGUGGAGACUUUGACUAUUUCGUCAAAUUUUUUUAGAAAGAAAGGUAAUUUGCUAUAAAUUUUGUUUUUUUUUUAAAAAAAAAUAAAUUUUGCUAGAAAUAUAAAGUAAUUAGAUUUCGAAUUUAAAAUUUUAGAUACUAAUAAUUAAUUUUUUUUUUCACUUACCCUGGCUUGGUACUGUUCUGUUGUUAUUGUAGGGAUUAUGGUCUACGGAGGCACGUGGGGCCCACGUGCCUAACCAAGUAACCAACGCCGCGGGAACUCCACGGGUUGGUCGUCGCUCGUAGUUAACGGCUCGGAUCCGUGAGAAAGGUAACGGACGUUUAUCACACGCGUGGGUCUUAACACGUGGGAUGCAUUUUACCGUUACUUGAUUUUACCUGGAAUAUCAGAAUAAAUUACGAAUUAUUUAAAUAUAAUUAUCUUUUUCAUCUAUUAAAUACUAUAAAAUUUCCAAGUUAAAAAGACAUACGAAAUAUAAUAUUCAUAUCCAUUUAUUUUAUUCCAAUAAAAAGUCUUUUUUUUUUUUCCUUUUUGAAUCGGUCAAAAUUUACAUCAAUAAAUUCAAACUUCGUGAACUUUGCAGAUUAUAUCUAUUAAUUAUGAAAUAUUAAGAGCGGCGUGUACGCGCGGGUCAGGUUAGUGCUUUAAUUAUCGUAUUUGGUUCCACUUAUUUGGCUAAUUAUAGAAAUUAAUUUUGUUAUGCUAAGCUAUAUCUGGGUUUAGUUUAUAUACCGUUCUCAGUUCUCUUCAAUUCGUAACCCUUGUGUAUACGUUAUUACUUCCGUAUACGCGUAUGUACAAGUAAUCUAUUUAAUGCUCUUGCUUUUUUUUUUUCCUUUUUUUUGCAUAAUUAUAUCCGUAACUCUCACAAUUUAGCCAAAAAAAACAUAUAGAUUAUACAUAUAUGUUGAAUUUUAUUUAAUAUCGGCCGAAAAACUAUAGAUGAAACAUAAGGAACUCUCAAAUGUAAAGAAAAAUUAAAAUUUCGAGAGUAAUUUUUCAAAUGACAAAGUGGGGUUCAAACUCUUUUUUGUUUUAAUUAAUGUUUUUUUUUUAAAGAAAAAAGAAAAAAAAAGAGAAGCUUUUAUAGCUUUUUGUGUAGGCCGUGUUUUGAUUAAUUAAUAAAUUCAUCAUUAUUACAGAUCGAGAUCCCAACAAUUUCUAACCAAUCGAUCUUAAUUAUUACUAAUUAUUGUUAUUACUAUUUCUAACUAAUAACCACUAUUAUUAUUAUCACUAUUUUUUUAAAAUUAAAUACUCCCUUUGUAGUCAAUCAUUCUAAAACCUGGAAAAAGAGAAAAUUUAAGUAUGGAAAUUACAACUUUACAACUAAUUUUGAUCAACCUAAUGUGGUAGGUGUGUUGCUUAUAAUUAAAAAAAAAAGAAAUUAGAGUUAGUGGUCAUUAGUCCACAGUGCAUUCCAACAGUGCAUUCCAACCUAGAGCUUAGCUAGAUCACAGCAAGUAAUUAAGACUUAGGUAUUGAGUACAUUAAUUGCUAUUCAAUAAAGUAUUACAAUUAGAAAUUACUAUAAAAAUAUUUUUGUUAAAGAUUUUUUUUUUUUUUUUUUAACAACAGAGAUAAGAAUUCCAACUUGUUCGGAACCGGUUUGAACUAUAAGAUCGAUUGUAAUACAGUUAGAUGAAGUGUUGUUUUAGAACCAUUAUUAGAAAAGAAAAAAAAAAUUUUGUCGUACUUUUAUAGUUGAACUGAAAAAAGUUUUCGACUCUUUUUAUUGCAGAAUAUAUAUGUUAUUACAGGCAAUUAAAAGUAAAAAAUUAGAUAUGGAAGUUUGAUCCAUAGAAUUCUAUCAAUAUUUGAUCAUAAUAAAAAUUAUAGAUUCUUAUUUAUUUUUCAACAAUUCGAAUCAACACAGUUUUUAAUAGUGUGUUGUAUUAUUAAGUGAUUUUGAUGAACACGGCAUAUAUAGGCCUUGUUAUUCACGUUCUAAGCCGUGUUUCGCGUUUGCUUUUGCACUUUGGAUUCUCCGGAGACUUUCUCACGACUUUUAUCCCUUGUUUUUUUUCUUUUUUUUUUUUUUUUUUUGAGGUUUGACUUUUGGGGUUUUUAUUAUUUUCUUUUGACUUACAUGUGAAUCGAAGCUCACCUUUAUAUAUAUAAUAAGAGCUGGGUUGGUAUACUAUCGAUAGUACGAAGGCCUCCGUGCUAUCAAGUUGUUUUUGAUGAUGCGGCUUCUAAAUCGACGAUCGGCUCUGUUAGACUUGAUCUACACUAUUGAAAGUAUUUGGAAACUAAAUUUCAUAAUUUUUCGAUAUCAUUAACUAUCAAACGAGUAGUCUAAAAGUGAACGGCUGAAAAUAAAAUCUCAUAAAAAAUGAUUAUAAAAGACUUGAAUUUAAGAUCAGAUGUACUGAUCAUACUCUAAAGAGUGAAAAUAAUUUUCUAUAAAAAUUUCACUAGAUUUGGAUUGUUUUACACCGUUAAAUUCACAAACGCAUCACAUCAACUAUUAAAAUUGUCAAUUUUGAGACAUUUUGAUCACUAGUCAAAUGAUGUCGAAAAAGUAUGAAAUUUAAUUUCCAAAUACUUUUAAUAGUGUAGAUCAAAUUUAACGGAGCCGAUCGUCGAUUUGGAAACUGCUUCAUUGAAAACAACUUGAUAGCACGGAGGCCUCUGUACUACCGAUAGCAUACCAGUCUAACUCUCUCUCUCUCUCUCUCUCUCUCUCUCUCUCUCUCUCCUAGUUUAGAUUCCUGCUACCGACACUACUAGGUAUAUAAAUAUAAUAUAGUAGUCACCGGAGCUGGUAGUAAAUUAAUUNAUUUUUUCGACAUCAUUUGACUAGUGAUCAAAAGAUCUCAAAAUUGACAAUUUUAAUGGCCAAUGUGGUGUGUUUGUCAGUUUAACGGUGUAAAAUAAUCCAAAUGCGAUGAAAAUUUUAUAGAAAAUUCUUUUCACUAUUUAGAGUAAGAUCAGUAUAUCUGAUCUUGAAUUUAAAUCUUUUAUCAUUAUUUUUCAUGAGAUUUUUAUUUUCAGCCGUUCAAUUUUAGACUACUUGUUUGAUAGGUAAAUGAUAUCGAAAAAUUAUGAAAUUUAGUUUCUAAAUACUUUCAAUAGUACAGAUCAAGUCUAACGGAGCCGAUCGUCGAUUUGGAAGCCGCAUCAUCGAAAACAAUUUGGUAGCACGGAGCGCUCCGUGCUACCGAUAGUAUAGUAGCCUAGUUCUAUAUAUAUAUAUAUAUAUAUUUCCAGGUUUUCUCACUGGAUUCUUGAUGGCGUAGCCAUAAAUUUGGAUCACUAGUGCAGGGUUUGGAAUAAGAUCCGAUUGAAUAUUUCAACCAAUGUAAGAUAUUAAUCUCUCGAAUUGAAAUAGAAUGAUAUAAGAAAAAGAAAAAGAAAAACAAGAUCUUGUAAUAGAAAGAAAUUGAAAUGGACUGAUUAAAUUUUUUUAAAAAAACCUGUAUAAAUCGAUUGUAGCCAAUGUUUUGAAACUCAAAUCGAUCUGGCCGGUCGGACCGCCGUGCAACCUAGUGUCCAAACUGAUUCGGUUCAACCUAUAAAACCAAACCGACUUCAAACCAGUUUUAACUCGUUCAAAUUAGUGUUUUUACUAGUAAACCGAUGAACCUGCCGACUUAUCUUUAAUCAUAUAUUUUAAUAAUUAAUUAAAGUAUAUUUAAAAAUAUUGUAGAACAUUUAUAUUUAGGAUAAGUUUUUUUUUACUUUAUAUUGUAUAAAAAAAUUAUAAUUAAAUAUUUAUAACAUUAUACUAAUGCCAUUCAACUCAGCGAUUGGGUUCAACCAGUGACCGAUUACCUCAUGGUACUAUUUAUCAUCAGCAUAACAAUACUGUGCUAACUGUGCUUAGUAAGUGAUUACUAUGACUAAAAAAGGUGCUUUUCAUUUUGCUAUUUAGGACUCGUUUGGGAUUAUAGAAAGAUUGCGUUAUGUGUGGUGAGAAAGUACGAUGAAAAAGUAUUCUAUUUGUUUCAGUACGUAAUAUUGCGUUCCGCAUAUCGCGACGAGUCGGUUACUAUAUAUUUUUUGCAGUCCCACCGAAGAACGCUGAAGUAUAUCCCUAUAUAUUUUUACCGCAACUUCAUUUUAUCUAAUAGCGUCAGAUGAGUCUCAAUACCAAACUAAGUUUUAGUAAAUAUAUAUUAUGAAUUUAUGGAUAUGGCACUUAUUAGUGUGCAAGUUUUGUUAGGAUUUCAUUUGCAAUAAUUUGGUCUCAAAUGAAAUAACUAUCAAAGAAGUAGAUUCUAGGCCUGCUUAGUUGCUAAUUUGGGUUAUACAAUGAUAAACUUGUGUGCAACACAAACACUCUUAUAUUUCUAUUAGUUGUUGUUGCAAGGCUCUUGGGUGCAAAAAUAAAAGAAAUGUAGCACUCUCCAAUUUUUAACAUUGUUGUGAGUGCAAACAAAAAUAUAUGAAACUAUAACCAACCAACUUAUUUAGAAGUUAGAGACCUGCAUUUAAUGUUAUCACCUUGUUCUUGGAAACUAUAGCUAGUGCAUUAAAACAAGUCAUAAUACUAGGGUGGAAUGGUGGUUUCUAGUUGAGGAAACUUAAGCACCAAUUUUUUGAACUAAAAGAGAAAGAAUUUACCGAUCGUCCUGAGAGCAAGUGGCAAAGGAGUUGGUGAUUGGUACCCGAAACUCAAAUUCGAAUUCUAAUUAAUUUACAUUUCCAGCAAAAUUUAUUUUUAAAUAAAAUAAACGAAACAGGUAGCGUGCUACCUAUCUCUCAAAACAAAAGAGAAAGAACUUUUUUCAGUUGAGGUGUGUGUCCACCAACUAGUUUGGUUCAACUGUUUCUAAAAGUGUACAGCUUUGGUUCAAGCUCACAUGGGUUGGGUUGGCUCUGUCCCAACCCUUUAACCACAUUAGACCAGGUACCAACCAAACCUACUCCCACCACCAAAAUAUAUAUAUAUAUAUAUAUAGAGAGAGAGAGAGAGAGAGAGAGAUAUGAUUCUCUACAAAUUAGGUUACAAAAAUUGGUACGACCAAACUUUAUAGGGAGAGAUUAUGAUUAUAUUUGUUAGUUUCAUCAAAUCUUUAAUAGAAUUUUCAUUUAAACUUUGAUACUCUUAAAGGAUCCAAUUGGGUUUCCAAUCGUCUUCCGAAUGUUAGCAAGAGAUUUCAUUAUAUUAUUCGUCCAAAAUUUUAAGCAGAAGAAUGAUAUUUGGACUCGAAACUUCUUAAUUCGUUCAAAAUAUGAAUUUUAAUUAAAGAGAAAGAAAUAAAAUAAGACUGGGAGUCUGACGGGUGUCGUACUCUGAACCUCAUGUUCUGAUACGAUAUGAAAUUACGUGAAAUAAUAUUCAACAUAGCGUGAUUGGACCUUUUCAAUUAAUUAAGUCCCUUCUAUCUACUAGCUUAUUAACCCAAAAUUAUUUCUAACUUGAUUGGAACAACUGAUAGAUGCUGAAAGCUUAAUUGCACUGAUUAAAAAAUUAGAAGCAAAAUAGAAAGAUGGGAUAUAAUAAUAUUAGUGACUAGUGAUGUAAUUAGCCCUUAAUAUUUUAUAAAAUUGAACCGAGCCGCAUAACUUACAUAAUUUAGAAAAUAUCAUACAUUUGGGGUGGAGAGAUCCCCAAAUCUAUGGGGUUCAUUUCAAUGUUGUAUAAUAACAAUUACGAGUCAAAAAGGUACCAAAUAAAUAAAACUACUAUACGAACCAUUUUUGGUAAAAGAUACCCCCACAUGCAUCUUUAUUCGUAACGCACGGUAGAUAUGAUCGUGACGCUUCGUAGUUGACUGAUUCUGGGGUCGUGUGGUUUGGAUUCGAGUCCAAAAUUCCAAGAUUUGAAAUUGCUUUGGAGGACCCAAAAAGAUCCUAUAAAUUAUUGAUAUGUUAGUAAGAAUUGGGCUUCUAUACUUUUAAAAGUACUAAGUUAUUGAUGCUUGUAGAUUUUUAGCCAUUGGAUUAAGAGAUAUGCGAUUAGAAUGAUAUGAACCUCCUAGGGUUGAGUGGGUGGUUGGUUGAAUAGUAUAAUCUAAUGGUUGAAAAUGAUCCGAGAAAUAGAUAUAACGGUAAAAAACUUACAAAUAUCAAGUGCUUGGUGUUUUUACAAGUACCAUAGCUGGACUCUGUUAGUAAAUAUAAAUGUAAUAUUUUAAACUAGAUUAACAAAUUAGUUUUUAAAACCUCUCUCUCUCUCUAUAUAUAUAUAUAUGUUCUAAUAAAUAUUGAUAAAAAAUUCUUAAUAAUGGAAUACUCUGAGUUCUUAUUUAUUAUUGAUAUUGAUGUGUCGAUAAAUUUAUAUAACUAUACCUAUAAACAAAUGACUAAGAAUUUGUACAUCAUGUAUUGUCUAUAUCAGUAAUUUAUAAGAAAAAAAAAUAUAGAUUUUACUAUGCAAUUUUUCAACUUAUUUCAUUUGCGUCCGCUAACGAUAUUUUGACCUUAAAAUUUACGCUAAUGAUAAUUACGAAGAUUGCGUGAAGAAUAGUAACUAAAUUUGUAAAAAUAAGCGAAGUAUUUAAAAUUUAAAAUCAAAGAGCUGUCGACUGAAUUAAAUCAAACAAAUAAAAAUGAUGAAUAAUAAAUAGCAGAUUCGAAAUUGAUUUAUACUUCAGAUAAGUUAUGUAACCUCC
rnacentral:lncRNA from 1 species